rnacentral:lncRNA from 1 species
AAAAAAUGGAAAAAAAGAUUAUGAUUUAGUCUUAGUGUAUUGGGCCAAAGAUAAUUAGCCCAAAUUCAUGACCCAAAUCCCUUCAGGCCCAAUACCCAUUAAACCCAAUACCCUAAAAAACCCAACUCACUCACUUUUAAUAGAUUUUUUUAGACUACCAAAACCUAGAGAUUUAACGCCUAGACCCUUAGGAGCUUUCCACCAUGUUUCACAGACCCCCUCCCCCCCGGAUCUCAUCUUCUUCGACACACCCCACAAAGAAAAACGAAAAGAACCCAUCUUCUUCUAGACUCUAAGACCAAAACCAGUAGCAGCACCCUCACCAAUCCACCCCCUGAACCUCUCUGACGCCGUCCGGCCAACACCAGCAGCUCCUGCUUCGCCGGAAUGCCAAUCAACCUCCCAAUCGUUUCCCUUAGUUUGUAAAUGACCUCCCUUAAACAGGGUGGAUCUUUUUCUUAAAUACUCACCUCACAAUAGACCCGUUGCUGCUCUUUCAUCAACAGAAAUGGACAGAAACUGGCAACCACUAACACACAAACAGUAAGAGAAACAGAGGUACACGGAUAGAGAGAGAAGAGAACGGGAAUGAAAAAAACAUGUUUACUUCUUUCAGUUCUUUUUUGAUUUCUCAUCUCAAACUUGGAGAUAUUGUCCUUUGAUUUUUCGUUCCAAAUGGAUGAAAUUUGAGUUUGUGUUGGUUGCGAAUUUUGUCGCCUAUUUAAGGUUCCGUUUGAGCUAUUGUCUGAUUCGACUCCCAUUGUAGCCAUGGUUUCAUUUUGUUUUGCUUGUGUAACUGCUGAAUUCAAAGUUACAAAUUAAAACCAAAGCAAAAACAGAAAAACAAAGAGGAUUUGAAAGCCAAUUCAGUUUCUAUUCAUGUAUGUCAUUUUUGGAAUAGCGAGAGACCUUUUGAUUGUGGAGGAACUGUUUGGCUUCUGCUAACUGUUUGAAUUACGAUAUCUACUUUGUUGGGAUCUUGAAUUGGAUUUCUGCCUUAUUUGGCCUGAUUUAGUGCUUUCUCAUGUCGAUUAGUUUAGAGUUUAUUUUGAGUUCCAUUCGAGGUGCCGAGGUCGUUUGGCAAAUUUCCGGUCGAAAUCUAAUCUUGUGCUCGAUAUUUGCUAUUGUAACCAAUUUGCACUGAAGCUAUAAAGGUUCGAUUUCACUAUCUUUAAUCAUUUUAUUGACCUAUUGCUUGUGCUUAGUUUUUGGUUGAGCUUAUCUUGAUAAAAUCUUAGUAUGAAGUAGCCUACUGUGUAAUGGUUGAAAUCUUAAAAGGAUUUGGGUCAUAAUUUAAUGGAAAUAGGCAUUGGCAUUAAGAGAUCAUUUCUGAACCUAUAACUAUGUGGUGCGUUUUAAGAAGGAACCAUAAUUGGGUUUUGGCAUUACUUCAUUAAUUUUUACUUUAGAAUGGUGUUAUAAUGUUAGGGACAAUUGGGGUAGUAAAUUCAUUGACCAAUUGUGUCAUUGGGGUAAUUGUGAUUAAUUGGAAUUAAGCCAUGAUGUUCUGAACAUAGUAACGAGAAUUUGCAGCUUGGAUAUUUUAUUGCUCCCAUUUAAUGUUAAUAUCACUUGUAAUAUUCACAGUUUGCUUUAGGCACAUUUAAUAUAUCAUCGUGAUUGUGUACACGUUCGCAUGACAUAAUUAUAAUUCUAAAAACAAACCGAGGUAUGCGUUCACGCAACUUCGAUCAAAACUUUUCUUAAAUAACUAAUAAAGCAUGAUUAAUUGUGGACACGAAUGCGUGACAUGAUUUUUGACGCGCCAAGAGAAACGAGUACACGUACCGCGACUCAAUUCUUUAAUUACAAAUAAUCAAGCAAUUAAAAGCGGUAAAAGGUAAAUGUACAUAGGUUCUAAAAUAAGUAAUUAGACAACUUAAGUCGAGUAUAAAUCGCUAAGCGACCAUGCUAGAACCACGGAACCCAGGAAUGCCUAACACCUUCUCCCGGGUUAACAGAAUUCCUUAUCUAGAAUUUCUGGUUCGAGACUUUUAAAUAAAGUCGAAAAUUUCCUCGAUUUGGUAUUUAAAAAUAAACUGGUGACUUGGAACAACAAAUAAAUUAUUCCAAGUAGCAACUCUGAAAAACAAAUAAAAUAAUCUCAUUUCGAAUAAUAUCACUUUAAUUGAAAAAGCUCCCUCAUAUACCCUAUCGGGUAGUAAAAAGGAGGCGUGACAGCUAGUUUAAUUAGGAAAGGCAAAACCUGGAGCGUUGAUCAAAACGAUCAACGGCUAGGAUUUGGCUGGGUAUUGUGUCGGGUAGGUGUUCCUACAUUAGGUAGGGUAAUUCUGGGGUCCGGCUUGGGCUGAAUUGGAAUUGGGCUGGAAUCGAAAUGAAAUUAGGCUAGAUUUUAAAUAGCCAUUUCAGUACUAUAUAAUUUAUAAAAAAUAAUAAAUGAUUUCAAAAAAAAUUUUCAUUUACUAAAAUAAUUAAAAAUAGUUGUUUAACAUUUAAAAAAAAUAAAAGACCAAAAUAUGUAUUAAUAACGUAAUUAUGCAUUAAUAUGGCCAGUAUUGCAAAUAUACACAAAUUAACUAAAAAAUGUAAAAUGCAAUUAUAGAAAAUAUACAAAAAAUAUUUAAGCAGUAUUUUGGCAUAAAUAUAGAAUUUAGAUGGCUAGAUUAACACAAAAAUAAUUUGAAGGAUAAUUAUUAGAAAUUUUAUAAAUAAAAAGGGAAGAAAUAAAUAAAUUUGGAGCUUUUAAAAAUUAUAAAAAUUGCAUAAAAAAUUAGAAAAAUGCUCAUGCAUGCUUAUAACUGCAUAUAUGCUAUUUUGAUAGUACAUAUAUGUAUUAAAAACAUAUAAGGAAAAAUUGGCUAUGAACAACUGCCCCUUUUUACCCGGGAAGGAUGAAAGAGUUUUCUGGUAAAGAAAUGAUGGCCAAUUUUGAUCGGAUGAGAUAUUUUGAAAGACAGAGGCCGGACUCUGGUCUUCGAGUUGCCUACAUAUCCCUUGUCCUACAAAAAUUAGGCCAUAUUUAGUUCUGGAUUCAUUGACGGAAUAUACCGAUGAAGUCAUUGCAAGAACAGACACGGGAUGCAAAAGCGACUAUGGUGAGCGGUUAAGGUUCGAGACAGUUGAAGGAACUGGAGCAAGGUCGCUCCGGCUAGGAUAGCGGUUUCUUACUGGUAACCUGCAGAUAAAAAAAUGCUGCCGACAUUAUCCUAUUCCACGAGAUCCAGGAGCCCUCCACCCACUCCUCCUCUUAGUCCUGUCAAAAACAAGAACAUAGGCAAGAUGGAAGAUUUGAACAACGUCAGAAAGGAGAAUCCAACUGAACGGGUAGAGUCCACUAAUGACCAUGGUACUCAAGUUCCUAAAGAGAAUGUAUCCCAACUUGAACAAAAGCUGUAGAAAUUCCAAGAAGAUCUCAAUCAUAUUCGGAAUCUGGCAACCCUGUCAUUUUCCCUCAGCACCCCAGAUAUCAACUUUCCCAAUACUCAAAACCCCACACCUCCUCAAAACAUCCCAAAGCAACAGAAUUAUCCUUCUCCUCACCAUCAUACUGUUCCACCAAAAACCCAAUGUAACACCUGCCAUACUCCCGAACAAUACUCCGCUACUCAUCCCGGAACUCUAAAACCCCACAAACAACCACUUUCACACCCACCAUAACACCCCUAUUUACAUGGAGACCAUGCCACACACCACCCAACCUAUCUCAAUCACACCUAAGUCUAAUGAAAAGGAUCUGCUUAUCAGAAACCUGACUGAGGAACUUAAGAAAUUGACUAGCCGAAUCCAGGGCGUUGAGGGAAGAAAGGGAAUCGAGGGGCUAAACUAUGAAGAUAUUUGCAUUCAGCCCGAUGUUGACCUGCCCUUGGGGUACAAUCCUCCGAAGUUUGAAAUGUUUGACGGUACAGGUGAUCCAAAGGUCCAUUUGAGGAUGUACUUCGACAAGCUGGUUGGAGUAGGAAAAGACGAGAGAAUCCGCAUAAAGCUGUUCAUGAGGAGUUUGAAAGGAGAUGCCUUGUCCUGGUACAUCAGCCAAGAUCCAAAGAAGUGAUCAAGCUGGGUAGGCAUGGCGUCCGACUUUAUGGACAGGUUCAGGUUUAACACAAAGAAUGCAUCGGAUGUGUUCUAUAUUCAGAAUCUAAAGAAGAAGCCUACAGAGAAGUUUUGCGAGUAUACUACUCGCUGGAGGUCCAAAGUUGCUAAGGUCAGACCUACCUUAGAGGAGGAACAGAUGAACAAAUUCUUUGACCAAGCUCAGGACCCGCAGUAUUAUGAACGUCUAAUGAUGAUCGAGAGCCACAAAUUCUCCGACAUUAUCAAACUGGAAGAAAGAAUUGAAGAGGUUAUCAAAAGCAGAAUGGUUACAAACUUCGAGGCCUUUCAAGCUAUAAAUAAGGCCUUACAGUCCGGUGGUGUGUCCAAGAAAAAGGACGCAGGGGCCGUGAUGGUUGCACAAAGGAUCAAAUCUCUCCUCAAAUACCAAACUUACCCAACACCUCCACUGAUAUAUCAGCCAACCCCAAAUUACCAAGCACCUUCACUCUCAUACCAAGCUCUGCCACCUACUUAUCAAUCGCCUCCACCUCCCACACAUCAACCUACAUCACCUAGAUACUCACAACCUGCUCAUGUAUACCAAACCUACAAUGAUCAAUCAUCCCACUAUCAAUCACCUCCUACAUGCCAAAACUUCCCUAGGCCCCGACCUAAUUUUGACCGCAGACCUCCAAAACAAUAUACAACCAUUGCCAAACCUAUUGGCCAAUUGUACGAGAGACUCAAAGUUGUUGGUUAUUUCACGCCUAUCCCUGCUGCAACCUCUGAAAACCCUUCUCAGUGGGUUAACCCAAACAAAUCUUGUGCAUACCACUCCGGCAUGAAAGGGCACACCAUCGAUGAAUGUCGUUCCUUGAAAGACAAGAUCCAGAAUUUAAUUGAUAAUAAUAUUAUUAUGGCAAAGGAACCCACUCCAAAUGUCCGUAACAACCCCCUGCCAUACCACACGGGUCGAGGUAUCCACAUGAUUGAAAUAGAGGAUAAUUGGGAUACCGAGGGAUCAAUCGGGUUGAUCGCAGAAGGUGAUGACCCAAAGAAGCCAAUAGUUACUCUUAAUCCAAUCAUAGUCCAAAUUCAACCAUCUGGAGGCCCUGAGGUAAAUAUGUCUGUGCCACUUGAAUUUGAAGCAACAUCGCCUGCAAAGACACCAGCACUAAUUGAGGUCGAACUCGUGUCUCUAGCAAAUACAUUGUCACCGUUUGAAGUCGCAAUUUUACCACCCAAGUCACACGAUCCAUUCAGAUUAAGGAAAGCCACACCAAUCCUAGUGGCAAUGUUGGCCAUGACACCAUUCCAUACAAAGGUUGUAACCAGGGACUAUACAGCUGAGGCAAGGAGGAAAGACAAGGUCAGGUUCGAAGAGACUAUUGCAGCACAAGGUUGACAAGACCUGGUAGAGUCUGUACCCCGAGCAUCUAGCUGAGUCAAGCAACUAGGACUCCAACCGGCCACUCAUCAUUGAGACAGGUCCAGACGACCUUUGGAGAAAGAUACAAGCCAAGGAAUACUCAGUCAUCAACCAGUUGAACAAAACACCAGCGCAAAUCUCCAUUCUUGCUUUGCUACAAAAUUUUGAGGCACACAAGAACGCUCUAUUAAAGGUGCUGAGUGAAGCAUACGUACUAGGUAACAUCACUGGCGGGGAAAUGGCUAACAUGGUAGGACAAGUUCUGGAGAGCCAUAAGAUCACCUUUCAUGAUAGAUGUUCCAGCAUCUUACAACUUGCUGCUGGGACAGCCAUGGAUUCAUGUUGCUUGGGCCGUAGCAUAAACCCUAAAUUAGGCAGUAAAAUUCUAAUGGAAUCACCAAGAGGUGAUCAUCCGGUGACGGUAGCAACCCUAUAUACAGUUGCCAAACCAUUCUAGCAAUUGAAGGAAGAAGGAAACUUACCAUCCGGUGACGGUGGAGAGACUUACCAUCACAUUGAACGGGUAAAUGCUGUUGACAAGGAUAAAUGGUGGGAUAACAAAAUCGAUAGUAUUCUGAAUUUGAGAGGGUACGAGCUUGGCAAGGGGCUCAGCAAAAACCUCCAAGGAAUCACUAAGCCCAUACAACUCAAGAAGCAUGGCACUACUUUUGGUCUAGGAUAUGACUACACAUGGGAAGAACUCAACAACUGGUCGCCACCACGGUGUGGUCCUUACUAUCCACUUGAGCAACCAAUAACACGUUUGGAGCAGUCUUUCCAACAGGCUGACAUCGUUUAUGGGUCGGACGAAGAAGAAGCACUUGCAACGGUAAAGAAUUUGUUCCUAGAAGACAAUGAUAUGAACUGUUGUAUUGUUCUCAAGGAGGAGGGGAGGAAGGCCCUUCCAUACAGGCUGUGAGCAAAGGGGAACGCCUCAAUAAUUGGACCAUCCAGACAACCAGAGCCCGAUGAGCCUCGGGGUAGCAAGGCUAAAACAAGCAUCAUUGAUUGUUUUAUUUACUAAAUGAUUUUCUUUUCGCAUUUUUCAAUUCCCGCAGUAAAAUCUUCGAUGUUCAAAACUGUUAUGCAAUUUAUCAAAGCAUUUUGACUUUUCUUGUGAAUCAACACUCAUUACCAUUUUCUCUCAUUACUUUACUUAUACAGCAUUACUAUUAUUUAUCUUGAUGAACCAAUGAUUGUGACAUGCAAUGAGACAACGCAACAAACAAACAUUGAUUCAGAGGAAGAUAACAUACCUGACGAGAUUGUUAAAGAAGUUGAGAACUUCAAAAACAGACCUAAGUCCAACCUAGACGAGACAGAAAUUGUUAACUUGGGAGAUGCAGGAAACGUCAAGGAAACACGAAUCAGCGUUCACUUAUCGCCAUCAGAAAAGAAGGAAUACAUAGAAUUUCUAAAGGAAUAUGAGGACAUAUUCGCCGGGUCAUAUGAUGACAUGAUUGGUCAGAGUACGUCUAUUGUGGCGCAUAAACUGCCAACCGAUCCGACAUGUCUGCCGGUAAAGCAAAAGCUCAGAAAAUUCAAACCUGAUAUGAGUUUGAAAAUCAAGGAAGAAGUCACUAAGCAAGUCAAAACUAAGGUUCUCAGGGUAAUGGAAUACCCGACAUGGUUAGCCAACAUCGUGCCAGUGCCAAAGAAGGACGAAAAGGUCAGAGUUUGUGUCGACUACCGAGAUAUCAAUCGGGCCAGUCCGAAAGACGACUUCCCUUUGCCAAAUAUACACAUCCUGAUUGACAAUUGCGCCAAGCAUGAGCUGCAAUUAUUUGUAGAUUGUUUUGCAGGUUAUCAUCAGAUUUGGAUGGAUGAAGAAGAUGCUGAGAAAACAACUUUCAUUAUGCCAUGAGGGAUGUACUAUUACAAGAUGAUGUCGUUCGGCCUAAAGAAUGCAGGGGCCACCUACAUGAGGACCAUGACUACCAUUUUCCAUGAUAUGAUACACAAGGAGAUUGAGGUAUAUGUAGAUGAUGUCAUCGUCAAGUCCAAGAAGGACACUGAUCACAUGGAAGAUUUGAGGAAGUUCUUCAAUAGAUUGCAGAGGUAUAAUCUGAAACUGAAUCUCGUGAAGUGCACAUUUGGGGUUCCUGGUGGAAAAUUGCUUGGGUUUAUUGUGAGUCGCCGAGGAAUAGAACUGGAUCCAUCAAAAGUCAAUGUUAUUUAAGAAUUGCCACCGCCAAAGAACAAGAAGGAUGUGAUGAGUUUCUUGGGAAGACUUAACAUCAGCCAGUUCAUAGCAUAGUCUACAGUUAUCUAUGAGCCAAUCUUUAAGAUGUUGAAUAAGGGAGUCGCCACCAAAUGGACCGAUGACUGCCAAAAGGAAUUCGACAGAAUCAAGGAGUACCUGUCAACACCACCAAUUUUGGUCCCGCCCGAGCCAGGUAGACCCUUAUUACUCUACCUUGUAGUAUUGGAUGGAGCUUUCGGUUGCAUUCUGGGGCAACAUGACGAAACGGGGAGGAAAGAGCAGGCCAUCUAUUAUCUCAGUAAGAAGUUCACCCUGUACGAGGAUCGGUAUUCUCUGUUAUACCACACUUAUUAUGCUUUGACUUGGGUAGCUCAAAAGCUGAGGCAUUAUUUCUGUGCCUAUACUACAUAUCUCAUAUCAAGGAUGGAUCCUUUGAAGUACAUCUUUCAGAAGCUCAUACCCACUGGCAAGCUAGCCAAGUGGCAAAUCUUGUUGAGUGAGUUUGACAUUGUUUAUGUAAUUCAAAAAGCGGUAUACCACCUUAAUGAGAAUCCCAUGGAUGGAGAAUACGAACCCCUAAAAAUAUAUUUUCCUGACGAAGAGGUAUCAUUCAUAGGAGAAGAUAUUAUAGAAUCCUAUGAUGGUAGGAGAAUGUUUUUCGAUGGAGCAGCAAAUUUCAAAGGAGUUGGUAUAGGAGCAGUCCUAGUAUCAAAAACCGGUUAGCAUUAUCCGGUGUCUACCAAACUCAGGUUCCUGUACACCAAUAAUAUGGCCGAGUAUGAAGCUUGCAUCUUAAGACUCAAAAUGGCUAUUGACAUGAACAUUCAAGAGUUGGUGGUGAUUGGAGAUUAAAACCUACUUAUAUAUCAAGUGCGAGAAUAAUGGGCUACUAAGAACUCCAAGAUACUCCUGUAUCUACAUCAUGUAUAGGAACUGAUAAAGAGGUUCAUGAAGACGGAGUUCCAACAUGUUCCCAGAGUCCAGAAUGAGUUCGCCGAUNNNNNNNNNNNNNNNNNNNNNNNNNNNNNNNNNNNNNNNNNNNNNNNNNNNNNNNNNNNNNNNNNNNNNNNNNNNNNNNNNNNNNNNNNNNNNNNNNNNNNNNNNNNNNNNNNNNNNNNNNNNNNNNNNNNNNNNNNNNNNNNNNNNNNNNNNNNNNNNNNNNNNNNNNNNNNNNNNNNNNNNNNNNNNNNNNNNNNNNNNNNNNNNNNNNNNNNNNNNNNNNNNNNNNNNNNNNNNNNNNNNNNNNNNNNNNNNNNNNNNNNNNNNNNNNNNNNNNNNNNNNNNNNNNNNNNNNNNNNNNNNNNNNNNNNNNNNNNNNNNNNNNNNNNNNNNNNNNNNNNNNNNNNNNNNNNNNNNNNNNNNNNNNNNNNNNNNNNNNNNNNNNNNNNNNNNNNNNNNNNNNNNNNNNNNNNNNNNNNNNNNNNNNNNNNNNNNNNNNNNNNNNNNNNNNNNNNNNNNNNNNNNNNNNNCCAAUAAAGAAUCCACUUAUUAGUCCAGCUUACUGUGCCAAUGUUGAAGAAGAAGCAGACGGAAAGCCUUGGUUUCAUGAUAUCAAGUAAUAUUUAGGAAAAGGAGAAUACAUAGAGCGUGCAUAUCCUACUCAAAAACAUGCACUUCGGAGAUUGGCCAACAACUUCUUUCACAGCGGAGAAAUCCUGUAUAGGAGGACUCCUGGUUUGGGACUAUUAAGAUGUGUUGACACAAAGGAAGCAUCCAGGCUACAAGAGGAAAUUCAUGCUGGGACCUGCGGGCCACAUAUGAACGGUUUUGUCUUAGCAAAGAAGAUACUCCGGGCUGGUUACUUUUGGAUGACCAUGGAAACAGACUGCAUCUAGUAUGUUCGGAAAUGCCACCGUUGUCAAAUACAUGCAGACAUGAUAAAGGUACCUCCAAAUGAGCUUAAUGUAACAAGCUCACCAUGGUCGUUCGUCGCCUAGGGAAUGGAUGUUAUUGGACCAAUCGAGCCUUCUGCUUCCAACGCGCACAAGUUUAUCCUAGUAGCAAUUGAUUAUUUCACCAAAUGGGUCAAAGCAGCAUCUUAAAGAGCAGUAACUAAGAAAGUCAUGGAAGACUUUGUCCGCGACCGCAUUGUUUGUCGAUUCGGGAUUCCAGAGUUGAUCAUUACUGAUAAUGGCUCCAACCUCAAUAGUGACUUGAUGAACUCCAUGUGUAAAACCUUCAAGAUCAAACACAAGAAUUCCACAGCCUACAAGCCUCAAAUGAAUGGAGCUAUAGAAGCCACCAAUAAGAAUAUUAAGAAGAUAUCGAGGAAAAUGAUAGAGAAGCAUAAACAAUGGCACGAGAAGUUAUCAUUUCCUCUAUUGGGGUAUCACACCACAGUCCGCAUAUCAACCGGGGCAGCCCCCUAUAUGCUGGUUUAUGGCAUAGAGGCUAUCAUUCCCGCUGAGGUAGAAAUUCCUUCCCUAAGGAUUAUACAAGAAGCUGAGUUCGAUGUGCAGAGUGGGUAAAGAGUCAUUAUGAGCAACUAGCCCUUAUAGAUGGAAAGAGAAUGAAUGUAGUUUGCCAUGGCCAACUCUAUCAGAAGAAAAUGUCCAGAGCCUUCAACAAGAGAGUCAAGCCAAGUUAGUUCACACCGGGGUAGCUGGUGUUAAAGAAAAUUUCUCCGCCUUAGGAUGAAGCCAAAGGAAAUUUCUCUCCCAACUGGCAGGGUCCAUACAUGGUUCACCGGGUUCUGACAGGAGGAUCCCUCAUACUUGCAGAAAUGGACAGAGAAGUCCGACCAAAUCCGAUCAAUUCAAAUGCAGUCAAGCGCUACUAUGUGUAAUCUUUAUGCUUUCCUUAUAUGAUAUUAAUUGAACUACGUCUGACCUGAUUCCUGUUUAAGUGGGGAUACGUAGGCAGCCCUAUGAGUUCGGUCACAAUUCAAUAAAAUUGUCAUUUCCCCCAGCAAUUGGAAACUGGGGCAGAAUUUUGAGGAGGACACUCAAAAUUCCAAAGUAAUUUCAGUCGAUCGUCGCAAGCAACAGUCAGAAGCAUCAACCCAUUAAACUAGGGUAGAAUUUUAAGGAGGACUCUCAAAAUUCCAUAGCAAGAGAGGUUGCAAUGUCCUGAACCACGUCACAGUCUCCGGUUCAUCUAGAAGCUAUCUUAACUAUAUACUUAUGUCAAUACUUUACAAAAUCAUGCAUGUUUAUUAUCGAAACUGCUUUGUUUAGCAACGCUACCACAAUGAUACAGACAAUAUCACCAGAUCAAAGCCGAGCAUGUCAAGCAAAGCCAGCGGGGAUACGAACUAACCUCUCCCCUUUACAAAACUCACUAUUUUUCUUUGGAUGCAGACACUUGGAUUGCGAAAUCACUGAACACACUAUACACCUAUGGGACAAACAUUAUUCAGGAAUACGCCCACCUAACUGUUACAUUUACAAACAUUUGCUAUCAACAUACAUCGAUGAUGCCCUGUAUGUCACAAUGAUCCCAAUAAUCGCAACACCGCAAUCUGCUAUUAACUAAGAAACUCUACUACCAUUUGCCAUUUUAUUUUUUGCAUAAGGCUACCAUUCUGCCUUCCGAGACUAAACAUUGUCUCUAUUUGCAUCUGUAUUGCAUAAGGCUACUAUUCUACCUUCCAACUUGCAUAAGGAAACCAUUCUGCCUUCCGAGGUUUAGCUCUACCUCCAUCUGCAUUCCUACAUAAGGCUACCUUUCUGCCUUCCAACUUGCAUAAGGCUACCAUUCUGCCUUUCGAGGUUAAGCUCUGCCUCUACCUACAUUAGCAUUACAUAAGGCUACUAUUCUGCAUUCCAAUUUGCAUAAGGCUACCAUUUUGACUUCCGAGGUUAAGCUCUAACUCCAUCUACAUUCCUGCAUAAGGCUACCUUUCUGCCUUCCAAUUUUCAUAAGUCUACCAUUCCGCCUUCCGAGGUUAUGCUCUACCCCCAUCUGCAUAUUUACAUAAGGCUAUCAUUCUACCUUCCGAGGCUAAGCUCUGCCUCCAAUUUCCUUCGAAACUAAGCAGUAUCUCAAGCAUCAUUUAUUUUGUUUCUAUUACAGGCUAAGCUCUACCCUUCAAUUUGCAAGACUAAGCUUUGUCUUGUCCGCAUCAUGCUACUGCAUCUUAUGGCUUAAAGAUCGCCACAUACUACAUCUCAUGGCUGAAAGAUCUCCUCAUACUGCAUCUCAUGGCUGAAAGAACGCCAAAUACGGCAUCUCAUGGGCUGAAAGAUUGCCAAAUACUGCAUCUCAUGGGCUGAAAGAUCGCCAAAUUAUCCAAAGGCGUCAUCUUCAUAGCCCGAGAACACCAUGUCAUGGCCUGAGGAUCCCCUUUUAAUCUUUUGCAAUCAUUAUUCAAAGGCAUAAUGGUUCAGAGGCACCAUCCUCAUAGCCCGAGAGCAUCAUUUCAUGGCUUGCAAAUCCUUUAUAGUACGCUUCAUGGCCCAGGAUGUCAUGGUCUAAAGGACGCCAUCCUAACCAUCCGAAGGCAACACUCAUGGUCCGACUAGAAUUUAUAUAUGUUUAAAUUUACACUCGAUAUACGCUUGUAUUAUUUCUAUUUGCAGGUACAUCGAAGAGAAACGGCCAUCCCAGCUGGAGCGAACCCGCUCCAGUUCCUGCAGCCACAUCAAACCUGACCAUUCCCAUAACCUUUCAUUUACCCGACCCUAGAUAUUGCGUUCGUCCUUGAAAAGUCUCGUCAGCCUACUCCGUCGAUGGAUCUUGAACUGCAUAUGGCUUGAUUCCUAUAAAACUAGGGAUAUGUAGGCAGCUCAAAAGCCAGGGUGCGGCCUAUCUUCUUCAAACUGUUUCGCUCAGUCAAAAUUGGCCAUCAUAUCUUUACCCGACAACUCUUUCAUCCUUCCCGGGUAAACAGGGGCAGCUGUUGAUACCCAAUGUUUCCCUAUAUAUUUUUCAAUAUGCAAAAUACCUUCAAAAUAGCAUAGAUAUAUAUGCAUACAUAAGCAUGUCCAAAUGUUUUAUUAUUUUUUCAUAAUUUUUAAAGGUUUUAAAUUCAAUUUAUUUCCCCCUUUUAUCCAUAAAAAAUCCCAAUAAUUAAUUCUAAAAUCAUUAUUUUGUUAAUUCAUUUGUUGGACUUUUAUAUUUAUGCUAAAAUAUAGCAAAGGUAAUUUUUACAAAUUUAUUUAGUAUUUUUUAAGAUAAAUUGCAUAUAAUUUCAAUAGUAGCCCUUUUAAGAUUCAAUUGUAUUUUAUACUCAUAAAAUUAAGUCAUAUAUUUUUAAAUUGUCAAUUAUAUGUUAUAAAUUAUUUUAGUGCUUUCAAUUUAUUUCCAGAAAUUAAUUUACUAUUUUUAUAAAUUUAAAAGGGGAAAAUUGGCUAUUUAAAUAAUAGCCCAAUUGCAUUUCAAUUGUAGCCUAAAUCUGAACCCAAUUUAAACCCAAUUUCCCGGCCCAAUUUCAAUUAAANNNNNNNNNNNNNNNNNNNNNNNNNNNNNNNNNNNNNNNNNNNNNNNNNNNNNNNNNNNNNNNNNNNNNNNNNNNNNNNNNNNNNNNNNNNNNNNNNNNNNNNNNNNNNNNNNNNNNNNNNNNNNNNNNNNNNNNNNNNNNNNNNNNNNNNNNNNNNNNNNNNNNNNNNNNNNNNNNNNNNNNNNNNNNNNNNNNNNNNNNNNNNNNNNNNNNNNNNNNNNNNNNNNNNNNNNNNNNNNNNNNNNNNNNNNNNNNNNNNNNNNNNNNNNNNNNNNNNNNNNNNNNNNNNNNNNNNNNNNNNNNNNNNNNNNNNNNNNNNNNNNNNNNNNNNNNNNNNNNNNNNNNNNNNNNNNNNNNNNNNNNNNNNNNNNNNNNNNNNNNNNNNNNNNNNNNNNNNNNNNNNNNNNNNNNNNNNNNNNNNNNNNNNNNNNNNNNNNNNNNNNNNNNNNNNNNNNNNNNNNNNNNNNNNNNNNNNNNNNNNNNNNNNNNNNNNNNNNNNNNNNNNNNNNNNNNNNNNNNNNNNNNNNNNNNNNNNNNNNNNNNNNNNNNNNNNNNNNNNNNNNNNNNNNNUAUUUUAUACUCAUAAAAUUAAGUCAUAUAUUUUUAAAUUGUCAAUUAUAUGUUAUAAAUUAUUUUAGUGCUUUCAAUUUAUUUCCAGAAAUUAAUUUACUAUUUUUAUAAAUUUAAAAGGGGAAAAUUGGCUAUUUAAAUAAUAGCCCAAUUGCAUUUCAAUUGUAGCCUAAAUCUGAACCCAAUUUAAACCCAAUUUCCCGGCCCAAUUUCAAUUAAACCUAACCCCAACCCAAUUAAACUGACCCAAACCCGGAUUCCCCACCUACGCUAUGAUCAACGACCACCGUUCCCCCUUACAUUGUAACCUUAAAUGACCCCUUACCCUACCUCAUUCUUCAGCAAACGCCGCCCUUGAAUUCUCUUUCCCUCUCAAUUCUCUCUAAAACCCUCAUGAACCCUAGCCACCGCCAUCUAAUCCCACCCUAAUACACCCUCAACCCCUACCUAAUCCAUGGCCUCUCAGGGUCAUUUGAGAUGUGUAUCAGCCUCAUAUGGCUCCUUGGUGUUUGUUUCUGUGGUUUCAUGGCCAGAACUGGAGGGAUCUGGUCCAGUCCAGUCCUUGCUCGUCUUCAGUUCAUGGCCUUUCUCCGGUCAUCCAUGACAUUUUUCCGGCCAUUCAUGGCCUCUCAAGGCAGAUCCUUGACUUGCCUGGUUAGAUCGGAAACUUUCAAGGUCUUUCUCAUCUUUUCUGGGUUUUCCGAAACCAUAAUCUUUAAGAUCUUUUGAUUUUUCUUUACGAUCUACCAUAGAUCUGUGCUUACCAUGAAUUUCUUAAGUGUUUUCUCGAAGGUUCUUCAACUUUUCUUUUAAAACAACUCUUCAUUUUUUCCGACGAUUAGGGUUUUCCUUUAAGUUAUUUCAAAAGAUCUCUUCUUUGAUUUUAAUGUGUUUGUGAUUUUGCUAUGUUUUUCUCAUGUUGUUAUUCUAUCUGUUUCAACAUGUUAAAACCGUAGUCCCCUUUUGGUCCUAUCCGAGUUCUGAAAUUGCUUGCCUAAAUGUAUAUUUGUUCUUUGUUUUUGACUCACUUUUCUUUGUUUGACUUGUUUGAUUUUUAGUUCUUAUCAUCUCUAAAACUCGACUACUGUCGAAGCCCUAAUUUUUGAAAAGGUUUUCCUCACUUGAUACUAUGAGACCUUUACUUGUUUCUGAUUCUGUUUACAUGUUGCUAUGUUUUCUUCACUGUUGAUUCUAUGUGACUACUUGACAUACUUGACUACUGUGUUUCGAAUAUUUUCCUUACUACUGAAUCCUAGCUUGCUUCUACCACUACUAUAUGAUUGUGUUAUCUCUUUUUCCAAUAUGUUUGGCCUCGUAUGUUUGAUGCUUUUGUUCACUCUAUUUGUAUACUAAAGUGCAGAAUUGUGUUUCUUCCUUGAUUGUCUUGAUCUGGUGACUAAUUGCAAAAGCUUUUCUUUUAUUACCCCUAAUUUCACUCGCCUGUUUAAAAUUAAUUGAUUCCUUUCCCCUUACUGUGAUGUUGUACCUUGCUGAAUCUUUUCCAAAAUAAGCAUAUCUUUGUACUUAGACUUGAUUGUUUACUUCAUGCUUUUACUACCCCUUUUAUGGCAAUAAUCAAUCUAUCUCCAAACUGAUUUUCUUUCCUUAAUUAGACUUGCUGCUACCCAUUAAACAGUGAUUCCUUAAUUAAAUGGAAUCAAAUGUGGUAAUUGAUUCUGAUUUGUGAUUGUUUCCAUGUUUGUGUUAAGACUUUAUUUAUUACUUUAUUCUUCACCUUUUUUGAAAAUUAUAAAUACCCACCAUCAUUUCUUUCAAAGACAACCCAUCUGAGUUCAGAACACACACUUCGCUCAAAAGUCUCUCUUUUCUCUACUACUACUCGUGUUACUGCUUUGUGUAGCCGGCUGAAAGCCAAAACUAGGCUAUGAAAAUUUGCUUACUUUUCCUUUCUGCAACUUUGCUUCUUACUAGUAUGUCCUAGNNNNNNNNNNNNNNNNNNNNNNNNAGCACUGCCCGGGGUCCCUUGAGACUAUUAGGGAACUUUGAUACACUCAGGUCUGAGAAAGGCUUUGAACAUCAUUGGCAUUUAAGGUGGUUUAUUCCAUAACUUAAAGAGGAAUUCAGCAACAGGCUUCCUAUGGUUGUAACUUCUUAUUUUGCUUUUCUGGUGUAAUUCAUUCAUUUUUGGUCUGUAAUGAUUUGUAACAAAUAUUGGGGUUGGCUAGUGAAAAGGGAUGGGGUAAUUAUGCAUGUUUUAGCUAUUAGGAGGGUAGAUAACAUGCCUAUGAGAUCUGUUUAAUAAAUUCUGCAUGUUUUACUUCCACACUUAGAUAACAUGCCUAUAGGAUCUGUUUAAUAAAUUCUUCAUAUUUCACUUCCACACUUAGACACCAUGCAUGUAGGAUUUGAAAUCAGACAUCAUGUCUAUAAGAUUAAAAUCAGUAUUUCUAUAGAAAUCAUGCCUAUAGGACUUUCGCUUUAAUCAAAUAAAUCCUGCCUACUUCACUGCAUGUUCAAUUAAAUACCAUGCCUAUAGGUCCAAAAUCAACUUUUAAUACGUAGAUACCAUGUCUAUAGGAAUUAAAAUCACCUAUAAUAGAGAUCAUGCCUAUAGGAUCUUAAUUAGUCUAGUUAAAAUCAGUUCGACUCAUGCUUGUCUAAAUCAGAUUAAAUAGUUCACUCUCUUUGUGUUAAUUAAUACGUUUUAGAAAGCAUGCCUAUAGGAUCCAAAUCGCCUUUUUAAAAUUAACCAUUGCUUUAUGGCAUUCCUAAUCAGUAAUAUACAUCUUGCUUAUAGGACAUCACCAAUACACAUUUAGGCAAGCCUUAGGUAAUAAUGAUAAAACUGAACUCGCCUUUGCUUAAUUAGCAACUGCUACAACCAGCAGGCAGGCCCGAUUUAGACUCCUUAUAUGAUUUAUGUAAUAAAUUGGUCUUGUUCAACAAUUAAAACACCCCUGCCUUAGUACUUUAAAUUCUGACCCUAAAUGUGUGUAAGUCAUGCUAUUUAUAUGCAUUACUUGAGGAGGUAUAUAUGAGCCUCUUAGUUGUUUAUAUGAUUCCCCUAAUAUACAAUUCUAUGUGUUUUGAAUGUCGCCUUAGUCUUUUUACCUUUAAAAAUUUAAGAGUCAGCCUAAAAUCUUUCCUCUAAUAGGAAUUAUAGUCCUAAAUUCCUCCGGGACUGAUAGGAAUGGGACGGGUAAUAGCAUGCAAGAGGUCGAGACCAAUCCACGCUUUAAUACCUUAAUGGGAUGGGAAGGGUAGAUAUAGAUAUGAUGAUCGGUGUGCUAAUACCACGUGUAUCCCCUAUUCUGAGGAGUGUCAUACCGGGUAUCGCAUUGAUGUGAUCCACAUUGUAAAUAAACCUACCGACCCCCCCCCCCUCUUUCUUUUAUAUUCUCAGGUAUUUGUAGAACUAUAAGUCGUUUUUUUUAAAUUUUCCUUUUAAUUAUUUUCAAACUUUUAUGUGUUCAAACUCAAAUCCCCUACUACUUGAACCUAUACUUGUCUAUCUACUAAUUGUACAAAAAUUCACAAAAACUGUCUAGCCGGGAACCACACUAGUGGAUCCUGAGGGGUGCCUAACACCUCCCCCUUAGGAUAAUUUCAAGCCCUUACCCUAUCUCAGGUUAUCAAAUAAACUUAGAAAUGAACCCUAUAGGUGUCCUAAUGCACCUUAAAUAAUUAGGAGGCGACUCUUCAAAUGCAAAACCUAGUUCGCAAAAAGAAUGAGUUGUCAUAUACCCAAAAUGUCAUAAACCCGAUUUUCCAAUGCGAAGAGGGAAAAAAGGGGCGCUACACUCGUGGCAACGCUUCAUUUCAAGUGGAUAUGAUCACGAAGCUCGAGUCUGAACUUUUGAAGGUCAGGGUUGAGAUCGUUGAUGCACGGGCUGAAACAACACUGAGCCGUACUAAGGCCGAUCAGGAGAUGGCAGUUCAUUUAAAGGAUGCUACCGAUGCCCAAGCCGAGUUGAAGAGGGUCCUCGAUCGUGAAAAGAGGAUCAAAGAAUAUGCUCAGUUUAGAUCCCAAAGAAGGGUACUUGAGGAGAUCGGCGCCAGGGGUUUUGUUCUCCCGGAAGAGUUGGCGCGAGCGAGGGUGGACGAGCGUGACGCUUGGUUACUCCUAUCCAGCGUUGAGGAGAGCGAAGACGAGGUUGAUAGGUUGUAGCUCUCAGGGGCGGGGCGUAUACAUUGCCAUCUUGUACGUGAUAUUUCCAGAGCGCGUUUGUAUAUGGAGGAUGCACUUUUUCAUGUAUGUAAAUAGAAGAGAACUUGAAGCUUUAUUUCUUGUGUACCCCUUUCUGCUUCGCCUCUGACUAGGUGGACUGGUUUCGGGGUUGGUGAGAAUCCUUAGAUUCGUAAUACGGCCCCGGGGCUCAUCAGGUAGGCCCGAGGGCUCUUACGCAUUUAGUCGAUGCGGCCUUUAGUGUAAGCUGGCGUUAGAGAUCUUAUGCUUUUGCUCAACUAAUUUGGGUUUAGCCUCCGAGUCAGGCUUCAACUCGAGCCCAUUCAACCCUCAAGCUUCUAUGUCUACAUGGGCGGGUGACAACGGCUCUUACGCCUUGCCCUUUGGCAUUUGUAUUUUAACUAUUUUGGGUUCAGUCUCCGAGUCCGGUUUCGACUCGAUCACAAUUGACACUUAAGUUCUAUGCCUUCGUGGCUUGGCGACAACGGCUCUUACGCCUUGGGUCGAAGCGACCUUUUAUGUAUGUGGCCCUGAGGCUCAUGAAGCUGGCAAUAAUGGCUCAUAUACUAUGCCCUUAGGCAUGUAUAGUUAACUAUUUUGUAUCUAAUCUCCGAAUCGGGUUAUGACACGAGCUCAUUUUGACCCUCAAGCUUUCAAAUUCUUAAGCUGGCGACGAUGGCUCUUACGCUUUUGGUCGAUGUGACCUUUUAGUGUGUGUGGUCCUAAGGCUUAUUGGGUUGGCGAUAAUGGCUCUUACGCUUUGCCCUUACGCAUAUGUAGGCUUUGCUUUCCUCUCAUUAAGGACUUUUUAAAAUGAUUUUGCCUAACCUGUCGUCGGUUCCGGUGAGAACCUUGAUUUCAAGUCAUUGGCGGCGAUGUUCGAGCACCUCGGAAGGUUUAGCUCGUGGGCUGAGUAGCUCGAAGCCUUGUGAUUUGGAGCUGAGAUGGUCGAAGCUCUUUUGCCUGUCGAGGGUAGCCUGUUUAACCGAUUAUUUUCGAAGUAGAUUCGAAGUAAUGUCCUAUAAUUUUAUAGUGACGGUCGGCCGUCCCCGAGUCGUGUUAAUUCGUCUGGUGCAGCCGUACGACUGUAGUCAUUUGUGUUUGGCCGGAGCCAUUUUUGAUCCCCAGUGUAGUGCUUUAGGCAUAUACAUCGAGGGUAUGGCCUUUCGGGAGUCCUACAAAUGCGACAUAUAGCCUAAAAUUUGGGAAUGAGUUUAUUCCUGUAGUAAGGUCUUACAAAAUUUUCAUGCCUUUUGAGGUCUUACAGUAUUUUCAUGCCUAUUGAGGUCUUACAAUAUUUUAAUGCCUGUUGAGGUCUUACAGUUUUUCCAUGCCUGUUGAGGUCUUACAGCCUUUUCAUGCCUGUUGAGGUCUUAUAGUUUUUUCAUGCCUAUUGAGGUCUUACGGUUUUUGUCAUACCGUUGAGGUCUUACAGUUUUUUCAUGUCAUUGAGGUCUUAUAGUUUAGUUGAUACUUUAGAUAGGUCUUGCUAGAUCGAGUUUGCCCGCUUGGGGUCUUAUGGCCUCGAGUUUUUAAGUGAAUGGCGAUUGGAGAUAGUCUGUGAGUAAUUGAGUUUUCUUAGGCUCGGAGGUCAUUACUCACGAGCUUGGAAUUGCCUCAUUGAGGGCUUAUGAUUUUUUGAGAUUCCGACCCUGGGAUCGUGUGCUUUCUGAGUUUGCGAUGCUUGUCUCUGAGUGCUCGGGACAUUUUUCCUAUUUGGAGAUGCUUCGUAAUUUCCGUGCUGCCUUGCUGAGGGCUCAUGAGCAUGGAGUUCUAACACUUAGGCCUUAUAGACACUGAAUUAUUGAUGCUAGUCUCUGAGUGAUUCGGGCAUUCUCGAUGGAGGGAUCUUUGCUAUGAAAAUGCUGAAUUUUCUUUAGAGUAAGAGACGCUUUUGGGCAGAAGAUAUUCUUUGAUUGUUUGGCAUAAGUACAUGUUGUUUUGCUGCCGUAAGCCCGACUUAUGUGGACACAUUUGUUCGACCAUUUCGCCCGGUACAUCAUUUCCUAUUGGAACCUUGUUUGUCGUUCCCUAGUUCUUCUAAGGGGAUGGCCUCUCAAAGGGGUGCCCUCUAGUGUUCGUGGUUGAUUUGCAAAAGAAGACCUAUAAGCUUGUCGGAUCCACCUUUGGUAGCACGUUGCCCCGAUAAGAACCUUGCCAGUGAAACCCUCUUCGGGACAAAAGCUCGGGAAAGGGAAAGAGUGCAAUGGAUGCCAUUAAGUCCUUGGAAUCUUCGGGUUAGGUUAACACUUUUGACUGCCAUGACCGAGCAUCUGCAUAUGGGUUAGUGUAAGGUAAUGAAAGAGGGAAGUGGUUUUACCUUAUCGUGGGGUGUGCAGGCGAUGUCCCGAGGCCUGAUGCGUCCCUGUUGUUUGGAGCGAGGACCUGGUACGUUUCUCCGAUGUGUUUAAUCAGGCUUAGCUGAAGACGUAGUUUGAUUACACUUUGACUCUUUUGAGAAAGGAGAUAUUAGUGCCGAUGCUAUGUUACGUAACAUGAACACUUCCCUUGCAGUAUGUUAUUCCCCGUAAACGGUUUUAAUUUCGUCCUAUGCUAGAUUUAUUAUUUGGUUAAGAGGGAUGGUACCGCUUUCAUGUGGUGUGUUCCCGGCCAGCCUAAUAAGGCGUUUGUACCUUGUAUCUCCUUUGAUGACAUGGAAUUUGGCGUUCUGGUCUGCGUCGGCCAUGCUGACUGAGAGAAUGGUCUCUCCUUUCGUUAUUUCGAUCACCGUGUUGAAUCCGUCAAGGCUUCGAGAGGCGGGCAUGAUUUGGCCUGGCAGUCCGAGCUGCUGUAUCUCCCUUGACCCGAUAAUGUUGGUCGAGCUACCUGAAUUCACGAGCACAUGUUUUACUUGAAAUGAACAAAUAAGAAAGAAGGUUACCAGUGCAUUGUUAUGAGGUUAGGGCCAGGGUUUGGAGUCUUCCUCGCCGAACAUGAGGGCAUCUUCGGGUAUGUAUCCGCAAGUCUAUUUUUCUCUAGUGAUAGACAUUUUUGUGUUCCUCUUCACAAGUUCACGGGGAGUGUCGAUGCUCCCCCAAAAUCAUGAUAGCAUGUCGUGGCCCAUUCGAUUCGUCCUUUUUAGCUGCCUUUCUUUCUUGGAACUGAACAUGAGCCCGAUCGCUCAAGUGUUCUCGGCGGUGACUUUUACUGAGUAGCUUGGCUAUUUACUUACAAAGCUAGUGGCAAUCUUCGGUCCUAUGACCGUGCACAUUAUGAAGCUCACAUACCAAGUUGUGAUUUCUCUGGGAAGCACCCGAGUGAAUAUCUUGGUCCAUUUGAUGUCCCUGAUUUUGCUGAUGGUGAACACGAUGUCUGAUAUAGCAACAUUGGUUGUAAUCUAAUAUGCGAGGUGCCCCCAUUGGUCUCGUGUCUCCAUCGAAUCUGGCUCUAUUGAUGAGCCUUUGAGAAUAUUGUCCUCGAUCCAUUCUCCGACCGUUGCGAGGUAGGUUGCGCCUCAGGGCAUUCCUCCUAUCUUCUGUGUACAGCUGGUAUCUUUCCUUGUUUGGUUUCGGUUCCUUUGCCAGGAGCCUGCUUGGGUAUACUGAGCCCCUAGGGGUCUCCCAACUGGUCAUCCUCGACCCUGAUUUUUGACUGGUACCAGUUCUGGACGUCCGACCAGGUCAUAGCUGGAUACUCGUUCAAGUCAUGUUUCAAUUGUUCUGAAGCCACUGAGCUUGGUUCAUUCAGGCCUUGAGUGAAGGUCUGCACCGCCCAAUCGUCAGAGACUGGGGGUAGUUCUGUUCGUUCCGUUUGGAAAUAAGGUACGAAUUAUCCUAGCAUUUCAUUCUACCUUUGCUUAAUCUUGAAUAGGUCGGACUUCCUUGUUGCUACAUUGAUGGCACCGGCGUGUGCCUUUAUGAAGAAAUCUACUAGCAUGGAAAAUGAACCUAUGGAGUUGGGAGUUAGGAUGUGAUGCCACAUCAUGGCCCCCUUCGAGGUCGUUUCUCCGAACUUCAUCAACAAUACAAACUCGAUCUCGUCAUUUUUUAUGUCGUUGCCCUUUACCGUGCAUGGAUAGGUAGUGACAUGUUCGUUGGGAUCUGAGGUCCCAUUGCAUUUUGAGAGUUCUGUCAUUCUGAACUUCUUUGGAAUGGGUUUCGGAUCCGCUUCCUCUAGGAAUGGCCAUCAUAUGAACUUCUUCGAAUCUACACCCUUCAAGAUCGGGGGUGCGCCCGGGAUUUGGUCGACUCUGAAGUUAUAGGUUUCGACCUUCUUUUCGUCGGCUGCUAUCAUUUUCUCGCUCGAAUCAAUCCUUUUUGUGAGGUCCUCCAGCAUUUUUACGAUGGUAGGAUCGGCUACUGAUCCGUUGUUGCUCAAUCUCUACGGUACCUGUUCGGCCGGGGGAGUAGUAUCCAGUACUACUGUGCUGGGAGUCUUCAGGUGGCUUUGCAACUGAGCGAUAGCCAACUGUUGUGCCUGCAACAUUUCAAAAAUAACACGACGACUAACUUCCUGCUCUUCCCAGGAUGGGGUUUUUUGGGCGUCCUAUUAGCCGCCAUGUUGUAUGCUCUGGUCGGUGUGUGAGGUUUCAUUGACAUGUUGCACGUCUUGCAAAUCCACGUCCGUUGGAAUAGGUCCAGGUGCGUUAUCGGGGUUUUGUGGUGGCGCGCCAAUAACUGGAAUGGACAUACAACUUUCUCUGUGGUUUCAAGGUUGUCGUUCUCUACUCUGUUCACUGAGCCAGACAUUUUGACCUAAACUCAAAGAUCAUGGACAAGAAAAGUGUAAAAGAUAACUUGCAUUGUGUAAUGAAACCAGCAAGAAAAUAAUCAUUAUUAUUUUUAGCUCCACGGUAGGCGCCAAACUAUUUACCGUGAAAAUGCUAAUGACAAUUAAAUUUUUUGAUGGGACUCUAAAAAUACGUGAUCUAUUUUUAUGCUAGUUGUUAGAGCAGUUGAUGCUAGAUACGUGAUGAUAAAGAUGAAAUGAGAGCUAAAACAACGUUACAAUCAAACCGACGAGUUAGCUAUCCGUGCCUCAGGCUAACCGAGGAAGGGCCUCGAGGUCGAUGCCUGGGCUCGAGCUCGAGCUAUCGGGGGUAACUGGGAAGGGACUAACAGUUAGGAUAUAAUGCUCUUUAUGGUCAAUAUCAAGCAAUAAAUGAAGAACAAACACAAAAACAAAAAAUGAAAUUGGUAGUCUCGAGCGAGUAAGUUAGAGAGAAAAGAGAGAGUGAGUUGUUAUUGAUCUUGUGUAGAAUGGUUGGAGCAACAGCAGCCCCUUACAAAGUGAGAAGGAUUCCCUUUAUAUAGGAGGAGAAUCCCAUCUUAGUACAAAAUACAUUAAUUGUAAAGGCUUGGAGAUGGGACGGCUAGACGUGACACCUUGAUACAAGCUCCAGGUAGGUCGGCUUCGUCAGAGUUAGCCGUGUGCCUUGGGAAUCCCCUAUUUUUUUCUAGCCUCGAUCAAUAUUCUCUUUGGGCCGAGCCUCGACGAGCUUCGAGGGAGGGAACUUGUUCACAGCUUCGCGACCUCGAGGUCUCGAGGUGUUAUUCUGAAGUGACUUGAUAGCAAGAAAUUGGACUCUUUUAUUUCGCUGCAUACACAACCCAAAACACAAUUUAAAUGAUAAAAAUAAAGACAAAAUUCAUGGAAUAUAUUUAAUUAUAGUUGAAUAAAAUUUACACAAUAAAAUGUCGUGAAAAAUCCACCAAAUAUCGCCAAGAACCGAGCUCUACAAGUCAAAAUGUGAUGAAAAUGGUGAAACCCUUGAUUUUGGAAUAUAUUUUGUCUACCCAGGUUUUUGUGCAGCACGAUCACGGAAGAAGAGACGCGAUCGCAUAGAAGGAAAAUAUCUACUGACCAAAACGUGCUACGCGAUCGCGGAAGGUCUUAUGCGAUCGCGAAGUGAAGGAACUAUCUGCUGCCCAAGGCCACACUUUACGAUCGCGAAGCAGGGGAUAUGAAUGCGGAUACUAGUGGACAGGGCUUACGCGAUUGUAUACUUAAAGACGCGAACGCGAUGAAGGAAAAAAAGGUUAACAGGACACUACGCGAUCGCGAUUUGAUCUACGCGAUCGUGAUCGUAAACACCAGACACCAGAUAUCAGCAAUCCAAAAAUAGAAAAAUUUGGCCCAUAGCCCAUCCGAAACCCACCCGAGUCCCUCGAGACCCCGUCGAAUCAUAGAAACAAGUCACAUAACCUAACACGGACUCGCUCGAGGUCUCUAAUCACAUCAAACAAUGCCAAAACGAUGAAUUACACCAUGAAUCGAACUAUGAACUUCUCAAUCUUCCAAAUUCGAAAACUUGUGUCGAAACCGAUAAAAUCAAUCCGGAAUGACGCCAAAUUUUGCAGAAAGGUCCAAAAUGACAUAUCGGAGCUGUUCUAACUCUCAGAAUCGCAUUCCGACCCCGAUAUCAAAAUUUCACUAUUGAUCCAAAAACUUCAAAAUUUCAACUUUCGGUAUUUCAAGCCUAAAUAAGCUACGGACCUCCAAAACACAAUCCGAACAUACGCCUACGUCCAAAAUCACCAAACGAAACAGUUGAGAUCACCCAAAACCCAUUCCGGGGCCGUUUACUCAAAAGUCCAACUCCGGUCAAAUUCUCACUGUCCAAACUUCCAAAACUAGAUUCCUUCUUCCAAUUUGACUCUGAAUCAUCCAUUCACUGAAUUCAACCAUGCACGCAAGUCGAUACUCAUAUUAUGAAGCUGUUUAAGACCGUAUACCGCCGAACAGAGCUUAAAUUCUCAAAACGGUCGGCUGGGUCGAUACAUCCUCCCCCUCUUAAAAACAACGUUCGUCCAUGAAUGUGCCAAGAUUUGCUUCGAAGUCUUCAAGUCACUGAAUGCACACUUCCAACAUACACCCACGGGUGAUCCCUCGUCACCCCAUUCCACAUAACCUGACGACAUCAUCCCAACUGAAAUUUAGCCUUUCUAACAAUACCAAUAAGCCUUAGGGUUAGAAUUCUCACCUCCAUCCAUUUCUAAGGACCCGAUGCUAAAUCCAUAUCCGAUAUCAGCCUCAACCUAUUACUUCAAUUAAUGUCGAAACCCAUAGGGUAAAACCACACAACAUGACACAUCACACAUAAGCCCACAAUAACAUUUCUGAUAACAAUAUCGCCUAAAAUCAAAUUCAGCACCGUCCAUAAGGCUCAUAUUCAAUAGGAGCCCAUUUCAAACCUCCAUAACAUUAGCGAUGAUACAAUGACCACGAAAGCCACAUAACUAAACACUCGAAGCACCAAAUCUCAACUAAUACCAACGGGCACACACCCCACAAGCUAAAACUCAAGAAGCACAGAACAAAAAUGACUGAAUAUGGAAAGGGAAACACAUAAGAGAACUAACAAACAAGCCCAACAAGCACAAAUUUUUCAAUCAAUACUAAUUUACAAAAACAAUCUAACAAGAAAGAACUAAAGCAUAUAAAAGAAUCACAAGGAUCUUAUACUAAUAUAACUUCCACCGCGGUACACAACCCGAUCUCAACACAUCAAAUCACAUGAAAUCACGAGGGUCUUGCCUCAACUCUGAAUCUCAAGUGUGGAACACAUCAAAUUAGCUGGAAACUCUCACUAGAUCAAUUCCAUCACAAUUUACACCAAGUACUGGCUCCCACACCGUUGGAGAAUAAACAUCAUGGAUCAUAUACAAAAUACUCAUAUAUCAUAUCAAGCCUACUAAAAAAGGACAACAGGAAUUUACUAAUAGUCUCACAACUCACAACAAUGAAUAAAAUAGACGAUCGACACAGGCUGUCACUCAUAAAUCCUCCCAACAUGGUAAUCACAUAAACAGGGUGCUAAUCAUGAAACGCACCCAUAAGUGGAGCAACAAAUAGGGGAACUCACCCCAAUAAGUAGAAUUGUAAUAACCUACGGAUGGUGCUCCUCUAUAACAAACUAAAUCAUAAUGGAAUGACAUUCAGAAGGCGUAGCGUCCUUAAGCCAACUAUAUGAAACACAUCAACAAACCGAGCCUCCUCCUCUUUAGCUCCUUCUACUCGCCUAAAUACCUCGCUGUAACACAUCGACCCGAUGUCUGAGACAAUCUCUCAGCAUAUGGAUAGUAUCUCCACACUCAAAGUAACCUCUCAGCUGAUGAGGCUAUAGGAACUGUGUGGUACAGGUACCCCGUGACCCAUGAAUACCUGAGUUACUAUGCAAAGCCUGAAGCACAAACUGAACUAGCUGACCCACAAAACCUCUACCAUGUCGCACCCUACCUCCAAAAUAAGGACCGACAAAUCUCCCCGGUCUACGAGACCUCCUCGCCUCCUCAAACUCUCUCUCUCGUGAUCUCGCCUCACCUCUCUCUCCUCCUUCUCUCAAGCGAUCAUGUCCUCCACCCUCCUAGAAAUACUCACGUUCUGCUGAUAUGAAAUAUCUAUCUCUAACUCCCAAGCCAUGCUAGUCCUAAUGUUGGGAUGGAGUCCCUUAAUAAAUCGGCGAACCCUCUAUCGAACAGUAGAAAUAAAGGUCAGUGCAUGUCUAGCAAAAUAACUAAAUCUAACGGCGUACUCUGAUACUGACAUAGAGCCCUGGUGCAGCUGCUCAAACUCUGCGUGCCAUGCACCCUAAAGGGACUGAGGUACGAACUCUCUCAAGAACAUCUCUGAAAAUUGAACCCAUGUAAGUGAAGCUGCAUCGGUCGGCUACCCAACUCAUGCGUUCGCCACCACUGAUAAGCCGCUCCGACAAGCUAGAACGUAGUAAAAUCAACCUAACUCGUCUCUGCAAUACCCAUAGUGUUGAUAAUGCGAUGGCACUCCUCUGUGAAACCCAUUGUGCUCUCUUAAUCCAACCCGCUGAAUGUAGGAGGGUCACAUUUUCUUGAACCUUGCAAAUCUAAGUUGUUCUCCCUUGGAUUCUGCUACCCUGACCAUGGGCUGAACUGGGACCACAAAUUAUGUCGCCAUGACACCUAGGACCUGACUAGUGGAAAGUCACUACUCUGAGUGUGGUCUAGUUGUGGCACAUACUCCUCAUUAGAACCUACCCCGUGAGCAGCGCCGUUGAUAACUGUAGCUCGUGUCCUCACCGUUGGUGAGAGAAUGGAGUGAUAAAAGUUCAAACUCCAGGAUCAAUAAGCUCGCACGAUAGGAAUGAAAGAAGUGAGAUUGUCCUAUUAGUUUCGUAUCGUCUCGAAGAUAAGUACAGAUGAAUUUGUACCGAUCCACAAGACUCUACUAAACUCGCUUAUGACUCGUAGCACCUAUGAACCUAAAGCUCUGAUACGAACCUAUCACGACCCAAUUUUUUCUCCAUUGGGUUUCGUGAUGGCACCUAGUCUUAAGGACUAGUUAAGCCUACUAAAAUGUGAAAUAACAACAAUAACUAAUAACAACUAGAAUUCCUCUGAGAUGAAUCCUUUAUACAAUGAACAACUUCCCAAAACCCGGUAGUACAAGUCAUAAUCUCUAUAGAGUUUCGCUAUAACUUCUCAAUAUGGAAUUAAGUACAACAAUGUGAAUAUAAAAUAGGAAGGUGACUCCGAAGCCUGCAAAUUCAGCAAUAGGUCUACCUUGAGUGUCCUCGGCAAGAAUCCGCACAGCUACUAACGAACAAUACUUGGAUCUGCACAAAAAAUUAUGCAGAAGUGUAGUAUGAGCACACCACAGUAGUGCUCAGUAAGUAUCAAGACUAACAUUGGUGGAUUAGUGACGAGGACAUAGUCAAGACACCUAUUAGUCUAAUAAGUAGAACAAGCAUAAGUAAAGAAAAUAACCGAACAUGAAAUCUAUAUAAAGACUAAGCUAUACUUCUACCAAUACAUAAACUACAAUAAGGAAAGGAAACAACAAGUAAUAGGGGAAAACUAUAAUAAAGCACAUAAAAGUGAACAAAUAAUGCAACCCAAACUUGAAAUCACAAGUACAGUAAGGGCAUGUCAUAACUCAGCAACUACGGCAGCCCUCGCCUUGCGUCUUAACCAGCAAGCAUCAAUCAAAUAAUCAAACUCUUAUCAAGUGAUAAAAAUUGGUUUGAAAUGUACUUCCUCCAAGUAAGCGUCCUUUUCAAAAGAGUUUCUUUCAAAAUAAUGCUUUCAUAUAUAAUCGUUUCCAAAAAGAGAAUCCUCCGAAUAUAAGUCACCCAUGUGACACCUUAUCUCAUACUCAUACAAUACGGGUCUCAAUACCUGAACCCUAACACUUGGCAUCAUGUGCCCUCAUCACCCCUCCAAAUCAUACUGACAACUCACGUGCCCAAAGAGUCAUCCUCACAUGGAAGGAAAAUAAACAAGGGGGUGUGUCUAUACUCAAAAAUCUCAAAGAGCCUCCUACCCGAUAAGGAUGAUUAACCAUGUGUAUCCUUGUGCAAGUGUUCUAACAUAGUUCGCACAAAAUAGUAAGUAUAAGGAAUGGAACGGACAUUACCCAUAAUGUUUACACAGAGAUGGAAUCAAUGAAAACAUCAGCUCAGAACACAAUAAUUUUAACAGGGGAUCUCCCAGGAUAUCGUCCUGUAGUCCAAAACAUAAUUAUGUGUGCUAGGGAUCUCUUGGUAUCCCGAGGAUAUCUUGGUACCCUCAAUAUAUAUACUAGGGAUCUCUUGGUAUCCCGAAGUUCCCUUGGUAUCCUCAAUAUAUGUACCGGGAAUCUUUUGGUAGCCCGAUGAUCUCUUGGUAUCCUCAAUAUAUGUACUAGGGAUCUCUUGGUAUCCCGAGGAUCUCUUGGUAUCCUCAAUAUACGUGUUGGGGAUCUCUUGGUAUUUCGCACUAAGCCAUAAUCAAUGUAUGUGCAGGGGAAUCUCUCGAGUACAGUCCCAUAGUCCCAAAAGUAAAUACGCAGCUCAACCAAUAGAAAUAACAGUCACAGCAUAACAGAAAGCUCAUACAUCACCACGAUACAUAUAACAAUAGCAAAAAUGACAAUAAUACAAGGUAAGACAAGUAAUCAACUUAAGGACUGUAAAUCACAAGGACAUGGUAGAACCAGCUCACAAGGAAUAACCACAGAAAAGAAUGAUGACAUAAAGGGAACAGUUUAACACGGGAGAGCUAACGUAUAGCGACGAUCCCCCAAUAUACAAGUCAAUAACAAGGAAAUCAACGCGAGUCAAGUAGUCCCAAAUAAGGGGCAAGUCAACAAGUAUAUAGAUUAUCUAACUCCUUUUUAAGGUUGGACAAAUUCCGAGGAUAUUCGACAAUUCAAUUAGGGAGAGAUGAUCUUUAGUUUCACUUAAGACAAAACAAAGUUUCAUGAAGGAUGCUAAUGGUUCUCACAUAAGACAAACAGCUACGAAAAGAUAGCGUGACAAUAGGAGAGGCGAAAUUCUUUAAUUAAAUCAAAUAGGAGUCAGUUAAGCAAUAAGAGUGAAUCAUGAAGCAAUUAUUUUCAAACAAGCAUGUAGAUGUGAAACUAGUAAUUAGUAAAUGCAGUCAUGUCAAGGACACAUUCAUACACAGUGAAUAUAAGGAUCUAAUUAGUCUAAAAGACCAAUUUUUCACAGAUAAGUCCGAGGACGCACCUGUCACCUCGUGUACACAACUACCUCAAAAACAAAAAACCAACACUCUAAGAUGCACUUCUCGGGUGAAAAGACCUAUGGACGACUCACUUCUAACCAAAUUAACUUCAAAGCACAAAUAAAACACAUAAGAGACUAUUCUGGAUCAUAAAGUCUUAAUCAUGAUAAAAAAAUUCUAAAAAUCGGUCCAAAAGUCGACCCCCGGGCCGGCACCUCGGAACCCGACAAAUUUUACAAAAACUGAAUAUUCAUUCUGAUACGAGUUAAAUACUACAAAAUUUAUCAAAUUCUGAUAUCAUUUGGUCCCUUAAAUCCCGAUUUUUCAUUUUAGAAUCUUUCUUCGAAACCAACUCUUUCCCCAACCCAAAACACAAUUUAAAUGAUAAAAAUAAAGACAAAUUCAUGGAAUAUAUAUAAUGAUAGUUGAAUAACACUUACCCAAUCCUCAUUGGCAUCUGACUCUGCCUCUAGCGACACCUUCUCAAGGCAGAGUCGUUGAUAACUGCAGCUCGUGUCCUCACCGUCGGUGAGAGAAUGGAAUGAUAAAAGUUCAAACUCCGGGAUCAAUAAACUCGCACAAUAGGAAUAAAAGAGGUGAUAUUGUACUAUUAGUUCCGUAACCUCUCGAAGAUAAGUACAGACGUCUCCGUACAGAUCCGCAAGACUCUACUAAACUCACUUAUGACUCGUAGCACCUAUGAACCUAGAGCUCUGAUACCAAUCGGUCAUGACCCAUUUUUCCCUCCGUUGGGUUUCGUGAUGGCACCUAGUCUUAAGGACUAGGUAAGCCUACUAAAAUGCGAAAAAAUCAAUAACUAAUAACAGCUAGAAUUCCUCUGAGAUGAAUCCUUUAUACAAUGAACAACUUCCCAAAACCCGACAAUACAAGUCAUAAGCUCUACAGAGUUUCGCUACAUCUUCUAAACAAACCGUAUGGAAAUAAGUACAAAAAUGUGAAUAUAAAAUAGGAAGGUUACUCCGAAGCCUGCGAACACAGCAGCAGGACUACCUUGAGUCUCCUCGGCAAGAAUUUGCACAAAUAAUAGCUAACAAUACCUGGAUCUUCACAAAAAAAAUGUGCAGAAGUGUAGUAUGAGCAUACCAUAGUGGUGCCCAGUAAGUAUCAAAACUAACCUUGGUGGAGUAGUGACGAGGAACAGUCAAGACACCUACUUAUCUAAUAAGCAGAACAAGCAUAAGUAUAGAAAAGAACCGAACAUCAUAUCUACAUAAAGAAAAAAAUGAUAUUUUUAACAAUACAGAAACUACAAUCAGGAAAGGAAACAACAAGUAAUAGUUGAAAACCAUAAUAAAGCUCAUAAAAGAUAACAAAAAAUGCAACCCAAACUCGAAAUCACAAGUACAGCAAGGCAAGUCAUAACGCAGCAACUACGGCAGCCCUCACCUUGUGUCUUAACCAGCAAGCAUCAAUCAAAUAAUCAAACUCUUUUAAAGUGAUAAAAAUUGGUUUGAAAUGUACUUCAUUCAAGCAAGUGUCCUUUUCAAAAGAGUUUCUUUCAAAAUAAUGCUUUCAAAUAUAUUUUUUUCCAAAAUGAGAAUCCUCCUAAUAUAAGUCACCCUGUGACACCUCAUUUCAUAAUCAUACAAUACGGGUCUCAAUACCUGAACCCUAACACUUGGCAUCCUGUGCCCUCAUCACCCCUCAUAAUCAUACUAACAACUCACAUGCCCAAAUAGUCGUCCUUAUAUGGAAGGGAAAUAAACAAGGGGGUGCGUCGAUACUCAGAAAUCUCAAAGAGCCUCCUACUCGAUAAAGGUGAUCAACUACGUGUAUAUUUGUGCAAGUGUACUAACAUAGUUCGCACCAACUAGUAAGUAUAAGGAAUGGAACGAACAACACCCAUAAUGUUUACACAAGGAUAGCAUCAAUGAAAACAUCAGCUCAUAACAUAAUGAUUUUAACAAGGGAUCUCCAGGAUAUCGUCGCGUAGUCCCAAACAUAAAUAUGUGUGCUAGGGAUCUCUUGGUAUCCCGAGGAUCUCUUGGUACCCUCAAUAUAUGUACUAGGGAUCUCUUGGUGUCCCGAGGAUCUCUUGGUAUCCUCAAUAUAUGUGUUGGGGAUUUCUUGGUAUCCUGAGGAUCUCUUGGUAUCCUUAAUAUAUGUACUAGGGAUCUCUUGGUAUCCUCAAUAUAUGUGCUGGGGAUCUCUUGGUAUCCCGAGGAUCUCUUGGUAUCCUCAAUAUAUGUACUAGGGAUCUCUUGGUAUCCCGAGUAUCUCUUGGUAUCCUCAAUAUACGUGCUGAGGAUAUCUUGGGAUACCGCACGACAACCAAAAUCAAUAUAUGUACAGGGGAAUCUCCCAAGUACAGUCCCGUAGUCCCAAAAGAUUCGCAUCUCAACCAACAAAAAUAAUAGUCAUAGCACAACAGAAAUGUCGUACAUCACCACGAUACAUAUAACAACAACAAAUGGGUCCGCCUCACCAAUAUACUCAGCCUCAACCCCUACCCCAAAUCUAUCCCCGAGCUCCACAUAAUCCACCCCAGUGUUAUCCUCCGAACAACGUUCGGUCAUCUGUCCAACCACUGGGUCACUCCUUAUGGUGAGCGCCAGCACCGCAUAAUGCACUUUUGCCUUCACAAAAUUUCCAAGCAUCUAACAACCCUAGAAAACUAGGGCAUUGAGUGUAAAAAAGGCAAAGAAAUAGUUUUACGCCAAUCGGAGAAUACUACACAGGCCUGUUUGAAAAGUUAAAACAUUUUAACCGGAUUGAGCUGCUCCUCGGCUAUACUUUGGACCCAUAUGCAAAAUGUUUUGAUCCUACUAUACGGUGCAUGUACCAUUCUAAUGUCCAAGGGCAUAGCAUUGAAGAUUGUCGUGCUUUGAAAAGGGAAAUAGAAAGAAUGAUUCAAGAAAGGAUAAUUGUGAUCCAGGACAAUGACACCUAGAAUAUCGUGCAGAAUCCUUUACCUGCACAUGAUGAUGCACACUUUGUGGGAAUGAUGCAAGGUGACAUGGAGUAUGAGAAUCAUAUUGGGAACUUGAUAACUGAAGUUAAUGAUAUUGAAAUUUGUAAUGGUCUUGGUAAUAUUGAUGUGGAACUCAGUGGCUACGAUGUCGAGCUUGGUAAUUUGAAAGACGCUCCUUUCUUGGUUAGACAGGGAGGAGUUCUGGUGGUUUAUUUUAUUGUCAAUUCUCUUGUCCAGGUUAUUUCAAGAUUGUAAUCCGGAUAUUGUCUUGUGACUCAAACCCUUCUAUCCUUUUAUUUUGCCUAGUUCAUUUAGUCAUAGUACCCCUUUAAGUGUUAUUUAAAUUUUUCCAGGGUUGUAAACCAAAUGUAUUUUGAUUGUUUUGUUGUUCAAACCCUUUCACCGUUUGUCUAAUGCAAUUUCUAUUUUUUGUUAUUUCUAGUCAUUUUUCAUUUAUUUCUCAUUUCCUUUAUAGUUCUUUUCCUGCUGACUCUAGUGACGUGACAUGCACGCGUAAUUCUCAACCUGGUCAAAAGUUAGUUUAUUCAUGAAGCAAUGAAACAAUUUUGAAGAUGACAAGGACACUUGUGGGAAAUAAGUACAGAUUUUGACAUUUUGAGAUCAUUUGAAGCCAAACUGUGUGAAACUGGGGCAGAUAGUUUGGGAAGUUAAUAGGACGAUAAAAAUUUGUUACAGGAGAGUGCAUCCCAAAUAAUUUGAAGCAAGCAAUUUUGAGUUCAAUUGCACCUCAAUUUAUAAAAUAAAGUCAAGAAAGUUUGCUCCGAAUUGACGGAGAAUAACCAUUGUGAAGAUGGAAUAACCCAACAAGAGUUUUGUAUGUGACAAGGCACUAAAGAAAAGUGGAAGGCAUAUUAGUGAUAUCAAUGCCGGAGCUGCAAAAGAAAUAUUGUGCAUGAUCUUCCUUUUUCAUUUUCAAGUUGCAUGUGUUAAACUUAGCAUUUUUAGGGAUUGGGAGGCCUUCUUUCAGCUACCCAAACACUUUAUACCAUUCGGUACCCCUUUUGAGCCUAAUUUUCUGGACCUCCCCUCUUUUGGAAUCAAGUUAGAGUCAUACAAAAAAAAGGGUUCAUAUACACAUAGGUUUGUUUUAGAAAGUUUAUUCCAAAAGAAAAAUUCAAAAAAAAGGAAAAAAUGGAGAUAAACAAAAAAAGAGGGAAAAAAAAUAGUAACAAAAAGUAUUCUUGUGAACUACGUUUGACCUGAUUCUUGUCACCACAAGAUACGUAGGCAGCCUUACGGUUCGGUCGCACCAAAUAAAAUAUUUCAUAAUCCCACAAAGUCGAGAGUGGGACAGUCUUUCUUAGAAAUUCCAUCUAAAAAAAGAAAAAAAAGAAUCAAAUUCCCUUGUUUUAGAAAUUGGGGCAAAGUUUUUAUAAUGGAUUCCAAAAGUUGUACAUAAAGUAACCUUGUUGUCUUAGUUAUUUUGAGCCUUUAUGAUAUCCCUUCUUUCUAACUAUGUCCAAAAGCCACAUUACAGUCCAAAAGACCUCCCAGAUAAUCUUUGAGAGUGUCAAGUCAGACAUGCCAGGAGCAUAUGUUAUUUCUAUCGUGGUUAAUGCAUUGUCACCCAUAAAAUUAGAGGAAAUAAGAAGAAAAGAAAAAAAUGAGAGAGUCUUAUCGGGGAAAACCUUCACAGGCACAAUAAAGCGAAUGGGAGUUGAGAGAAAGAAAAAAUGAGAGAGGCUUGAUGGUGAAAACCCUUCGGGCACUACAAGUCGAAUAAGGAUCGUGAAUCAAAUAGUAUAAUCGAAGCAUUGAAGCCCAAUUUCACGGUAAUGAGGUACAACAAGAGUUGAAUAUUAGACUUUUUGACAGAUUAGGCCACUUAAUCCAAAGGUUCUUAUCAUGGUCAUUAGAGUUGGUAUCCACAACUAAUAAGUAUCUACUUUGUAUUUUUCUUUUUAGGUAUCAUCUCUUUCCAUUGUCCCUUACUCUGUUCCCUUUGUUUUGUUUACUUCCUCUUCUUCAGUAUGUUCGGUCAGAACAAGUGAAAAAUGACUUCAAAAGCUUCUACCAGCUUUCCAAUUGCACAAAACGGAAUCUGGCUAGCACAUCAAAGUGGCAUAAGUCAGGAAAGAAUAGUAUGCGUACUGAGUUGGUAACAAUCAAUGUGCUUUGGGAGUCAUGUGUAAUGCAAAGGUUCUGUAAAUGUCAAUUCAUGAGAAAAAUGCAACAGAUAGAGCAUAUUGGGCUCGAAUGGAUCGGAGGUGUUUUCUGUGAUAAGGGUUGAAAGAAAAUGGUUAGUCGAUAACAUGAAAGGUCUUCCAAGUUUAAAUCAAAUUUAUCAUUGCAAGUGUAGAAGCAGCCGCCUUCAAGGUCAAGGCCACAAACUAACCACAAUGUUUUAAACUCACAAGUUUUUUUUUCUUAAACAGGGAUGAAAGCUAUGUUCAUAUCAAAGCUUGGAAGCUUGAAUUUUUCAGGUGUAAUGCCGCAAUUUUGCUUACACAAAGGCUAUUGAGAAGAUCACACAUCACCCCUAGGAUAAACACUUCCUAGUUUGAGUCUUUCAAGUUAUAUUUUGUUUUAGGAGACGCACUUCCUAGUUUUGGGUCAUUUAAGCUUAUUCCUAGGAGACACACUUCCUAGUUUGGAGUCUUUGAAGUUUCACCCCUAGGAGACGCACUUCCUAGUCUGGGUCUUUCAGGUUAUUAUUUUNNNNNNNNNNNNNNNNNNNGGAUAUACUUUUAGGAGACACACUUCCUAAUUGAGAUUUCACCCCUAGGAGAUACACUUCCUAAUUUGAGUCAUUGUAGUUCCACCCCUAGGAGACGCACUUCUUAGUCUGGGUCUUUCAGGAUAUACAUUUAGGAGACGCACUUCCUACAUUGAGAUUUUACCCCUAGGAGACACACUUCCUAGUUUUGGGUCAUUUAAGUUCUUUCCUAGGAGAUGCACUUCCUAGUUUGAGUAAUUGAAGUUUCACCCAUAGGAGACGCACUUCCUAGUAUAGGUUUUUCAAGUUAUAUAUAAUUUUAAGAGACGCGCUUCCUAAAUUGAGUUUUAUCCCUCGGAUACGCACUUCCUAGUUGGGUCAUUUAUGUUCAUUCCUAGGAGACACACUUCCUAGUUUGAGUCAUUAAAGUUUCACCCUAGGAGAAGCACUUCCUAGUUUGGGUCUUUCAAGUUAUAUUUUUUUUUAGGAGACGCACUUCCUGAACGGAGAUUUAACCCCUAGGAGUCGCACUUCCUAGUUUGGGUCAUAUAAGUUUGAGUUACUAAGGUUUUACCCCUAGGAGAUGCACUUCCUAGUUUGAUUCAUUCAAGUUUUAUCCCUAGGAGACUCACUUCUUAGUUUGAGUCAUUCGAGUUUUAUCCUUAAGGUGAUACACUUCCUGGUUUGGUUCAUUCAAAUUUCAUCCCUAGGAGACGUACUUCCUAGUUUGAGUCAUUUGAGUUCAUCCCUAGAAGCUGCGCAUCCUAGUGGGGUCAUUAGUUUACUCUCAUCAUUGCAUCAAUAGCAUAAGUGGUUUACAGUUUUGCUAGUAACUCACAAAUCUUCCUGGCGCAAAAUGGGGCCAAAAAUUUUGUUUGUUUUGUUGUUUUAAUUGCAGGCACCCACCUGAAGAUCAAGGGAAGUCAUUUCAAAAUUUUUUUUAGAAUUAUUUCAAGUUUCAAGUCAGUAGCAGGCGCCCACCUGGAGGACAAGAGAAGUUAUUUCAGAAUUCAAUUCAAGUUAAAAGUAGCAGAAGCUCACAGCAAGAAUUCGAGUCAACAAUCCGAGAUGACCAACAGAAGCUGUCUCAAUCCAGAAAAAAAGAGAAAAAAAAAAGAAGUGAAUCCAAAUGCAAGCAGAGAAAAGAUGUGGACUGCUCAAGACAUGACUGAAGUCACGAGCACUACAUGUCCGGUCUUGAUCCGAAAAAGCUGAAGAAGAUUUAACUAGCACCUGCAGCUAGUAAGCGUCAAGGUUCAUGUCUAAAGUCUGCAUGAAGAACCAUUCAAGACUCAAGAUCAAGCUUCAGAAGAUUUAUAGAUAGGAAUCUUGUAACUCAUAGCUAAUAUACUUGGUUAGUAUUUUUUUGCUUUUUAUUUUGAUCUAAUAACAGGAGCGCGGACCGGAACCUCGAUGGAACGGUAACCUCACUCAGCUCUCCAUCUUUAUAGACAAGGAUAUGUAGGCAGCUCAGACACCAGGGCUCGAUUACACACUACUCUCUUUUAGUUUUUGGUCUCUCUAAAUAAGGGUCGGGUGAAGAAACAUGUCUCGUCGUUCUUCGUCUGAAAACUCUUCGUGUUUCCAAUCAAAGAGGGCAGAUGUAGAUAUGUAAUUUUGGACCCUCGCGAAAAUUUUACAUGUUUUAGCAUUUAAAUAUUUUGUUUAGGUUGACUAUCACUAUUUUAAAUAGUUUUGACUCUUUUACGUUAUUUUAUCACAAAAAUAAAAAUCACAAAAAAAAAAAUUNNNNNNNNNNNNNNNNNNNNNNNNNAUUAGUUUCACUUUUAGCAUUUAGUUUUAUAUUAGUUUAAUUUAAUUAAGAGUGAUUUUUUACACUUUACAGAUACAUUGUACUAUUUGGUUUUCUUAGCCUAAAUUCAAACCCAAAAGACAUGGUCCAACCCAAUUUCCUAAAUCCAAGCCCAUUUACUCAUUCCCCUCUUAUAUCCUAAUUGAAAAUAACCCUAAUUUCCUUAACCUAAGGCAGCCAUUUAGCACCCUUCUUCUUCAACUAAAAAAAACAAAAACCCUAGGAGCUGAACCUAACAUCCCUUGACCAAGAAGUUGCCGCCUCCCACCAUCCUCCAUAGCAGCUCCCACCAUCACCCCAACGAGCAGACUAACACCACCAACACAUACAAGAUACAACCACUGGACCACCCCAAAACUCCCUAGUCGCCGCUAGACAGAGAAGCAGUGAACACCACAGCCAUCCAUCGUUGCUUCUGCUUCUUCCCAUUAACAAAGCUCGCCGGAAACUAGCACCCAACGACCACCCCCAUUCGCACACCCCACCAUCUUCUUCAACCCACAGCCUCAUUUCGUCUUGAACUCGCCAAAAUUGGUCACCAAUGAGUGGUGACGCUGCAAGCAAUAGAACCAACGACUACCAUACUUAAACACUCACCGCUGCAAACACAGAUCUAAAAAAUAAAAUAAUGAAAAACAAAAAAAGGGGCAGAAUCUCAUUGUUUACUAUUCAUUUCGAAAAAUACCAGUGAAACAAUAGUUCACUGUUCUUGUCGGAGCUUUCCGGUGCCGUUUCAAGUUUGUGUCCGCGGUUAGUCACAUUUUUUAGUUCAAAAUAGUGAAACAAUCAAUUCGCCAACUAUAUUGAGGUCCAAUUCUUUUAUCCUCUACUUGUUUUAUUCAAUCUUCGUGUUAAUGGUUUGUUUGGUGAUAUGAUUCUGUUGUUUGUGUAAUUGUUCUCCAUAGUUUUGAGUUUGUUCGCUUAGUUAUCUGCUCAUGUUUACUCAAAUUUGUUAUAGUUGAACAUGAUUUUAUCACAGUAUAGAAAUUAGGUUGCUGGGUAAAAACUAAAAGAAAAUUUAGGUUCAAUAUAAUAAUAUUGUUUUUUAUUCUUGUUUUAGUUACUUUUCGCUAGAAAUAUUCUUAGGCCGGCCACACGUGGGUAGGCAAACUUUUAGGUGUGUAAAUGAAUCAACGUGACUAUGGGUACGGUUCCCGUGGCAUGGUCACGAUACGUAAUCUCCAAGUUGAGUGUGCAAUCCAUGUGACAUAAACAUGUUGUAAGUCGCGGGUGCAUUUCAUGUGACACGAUUUGCAAUGUUUACCAAAAUGACAAGUGUACGACAAUCGUGACUUGUUCCAAAAAAUAAUUCUAUAAACAUUAAAAGCGGCUACAAAGUUAAAAAUGCACGUAGGUUUGAAUGUGUAAUAAAUCAGAUAAUUAGGCCAAUUAUUAAUAGUUCAACGACCGUGUUAAAACCACGGAACCUGGGAAUGCCUAACACCUUCUCCCGGGUUAACAAAAUUCCUUACCCGGAUUUCUGUGUUUCGCGGACUGUAAAAUAGAUUCAAACUUCCUCGAUUCGGGAUUUUAGAUCGGUGACUUGGGACACCAUAAAUUAUCCCAAGUUGCGACUCUGAAUUUGAAUAUAAAUAAUCCCGUUUCGGUUAUUGUCACUUUAAUUAGAAAAACUCCCUAUCCAUCGCGGGAAAAAGGAGGUGUGACAACCGUAGUUGUCGUGUCUGGCCGUAGCCUUUUAGUCCCUGAGUGAGGUAGCCUCGACGUUUAUAUCUAGGGUAUGCCUUUUUUGGGGACUUACAAGUUCGAAUAUAUAGCCUUGACUUUAAGAUCGGGAUUAUGUUCUUUGUAAGAUCUUAUAAAUUUGAACACGCCUUACUUAAGGUCAUACAGAUUCUUUACUUGGCAGAAUUAUAAUUCAUUCCUUGCAUGGGAUAUUACAAAUUUGGUAUUGCCUUAUGGAGGUCUUAGAAGCUCGAGGUUGCCUGCUUGGAGUCUUAUGGCCUCGAUUUUUUGAUAGCUCGAUGGGGUGACAGUCCGCGACAGUCCCCGAGACAUCGAAAGUUUUUGGCUUUGGAGUCGUUCUUUGUAAACUUGAUGUUGCCUAAUUGAGGGCUUAUGAACUCCAUGUUUCUAUACUAUAGGUCUUACGGCUUUGAGUUAUUGAUGUCAGUUCCCGAGUGUUCGGGAAAUUUCUGGCCCUGGGCCGUUUCUUGUAAAAACAGCAAACUUCUUUGAAGCACGAAGCGUUUUGAUGGUAAAAGAUACUCCUUUGGUAAAAGCGUUUUGGUUUUAAAAGAAACUCCUUUGAUUACAUGGUACACACAUACAUGUUUUUGUCGUCAAGGGUUUGAUCAUUCUAUGUGGAUAUGGUUCAUUUGACCGUUUGGCCCGAUACAUCAUUUUUCUAUCGACACCCAUUUUGGCUCAUCUUGAUUUCCCCGGGGAGGUGAUUUCCCUGUGGGAUGCCCCCCCAGUAUUCGAGAUUGAUUGAAGAGAAGUCUUGAAUACUUGUUAAGUUCUCCUUAGGUAGCAUAUAGAUGUUGCCUCGUUAAAAACCUUGCAGGUAAAACCCUUUUUGGGAUAAAAUCCGAUCGAAGGAAAAGAGUGCAAUGCAUGCUUUAAAACCUAAGGUCUUCAAGCUGGAAGGUGCUUCGAUUUUUCUAACCGGACACCUUCACACAAGUUAGUGUAAGACAUAAAUAAAAGGGGAGACGGUUAUACCUUAGUAGUGAUGGCACUCGAGCCUCGAUAUGUUUCAACUGCUCGCUUUGGGGAUGCGGUACGGUCCUUUGGUUAUUCACUCGGGUACAACCGAGAAUGUAGCUUGUGAUUGCUGCUUUGUUUUUUGCUUAUCCUUUAGCUCCUUCGAUGUUGAAGGUUUCGAUGGUGGUGCCAUAUCGUGCACCACAAACAUCUCUCUUGCUGCAUACUGCUCCCCGUGUACCAUUUUUAUUCCAUCCGUUAUUGGAAACUUCAUCAUUUGAUGAAGGGUUGAUGGUACUGAUCUCAUGCACUGUAGACAUGGCCUUUCGAGCAAAGCAUUGUAUCUCAUGUCUCCUUCGAUGACAUGAAACUUGACAUUUGGGUUGUGCCGGCGACAUUGACUGGGAGGGUGAUCUCCACUUUCGUUGUCUGGCUCGCCAUAUUGAAUCCGUUGAUAACUCAAGAGGCGAGCAUGAUCUGGUCGAGUAGUUCGAGCUGCUCCACCACCCUUGACCUGAUAAUGUUGGCCGACCUACCUGGAUCCACAAGUACACGUUUAAUUUGAAAAUUAUUCAAAGAAAAUAAAUUACUAAUGUAUCAUUAUGAGGAUGAGAUAGGGCCUCGAUGUCCUCUUCGCUGAAUUUGAGAGCGUCCUCGGGUAUGUAAUCUCGAGUUCGCUUUUCCAUGGUAAUGGAUAUUUUUUUUUAUUUGACAAUGGGUUCAUCUGGGAUGCAUAUUCCUUCAACGAUCAUAUGGAUGACAUGUCGUGGCUCUCAUUCCUGAAAUUGAUUUGGGCUCGUUCGCUGAGGAUCUCUUGAAGGUUCCCUUUGUUGAUUAAUCGAGCUACUUUUUCUCGGAUCUAUCUGCAAUCUUCGGUCCAAUGACCGUGUGUGCCAUGAAAUUUCCAUACCAGGUUAGGGUUCCUUUGCGACAGAUCUGAUAGUAUGUGUUUUGGCCACCUGGUGUUUUUGAUUUUACCUAUGGCUGAUACGAUGUCUGAAGCAUCAAUGUUGAAGUUGUACUCGGAUAGUCGGGGUGCCUCUGUCGGUCCUGUGUGUCUAUCAAAUCUGGCUCUACUCAUGAGUCCCUGAGGAUUCUGACCUCGAUCUGUCCUUCGGUUGCUUUGGGGUAUAUUAUGCCUUGGGGCGUUUCUUCGAUCUUUAGUGUACGGUUGGUACCUUUCCUUGUUUUGGUUUUGAUUCCUUUGCCAGGAGCCUACUAGGAUAUAUCGAGCUUCGUUCAUUAAAACCUUAGGUGAAGGCCUGCACUGCCCAGUUAUCAGAUAUUGGUAGUAAUUCCAUUCACUCCAUUUGAAAGCGAGAUACGAAUUCCCGUAGCAUCUUGUUUUCUCUCUGUUUCAUUUUGAAGAUGUCGGAUUUCCUUGUAGCGACCUUAAUGGCACCAGCAUGUGCCUUUAUAAAAGAAUCUGCCAGCAUGUCAAAUGAGUCUAUCGAAUUCAGGGAUAGGUUGUGAUACCACAUCAUGGCCCCUUAUGAAAGUGUUUCUCCGAAUUUCUUUAAUAAGACGGAUUCAAUCUCGUCGUCCUUUAAGUCAUUUCCCUUUACAAUACAAUUGUAUGUAGUGAUGUGCUCGUUGGGGUCCGAGGUUCCGUUGUACUUCGGGAGAUCGGGCAUUCUGAAUUUUUUCGGGAUGGGCUUUGGUGCAGCACUUGAUGGGAAUGGCUUUUGUAAGAAUUUCUUUGAAUCUACACCUUUCAGAAUCAGGGGUGCGCCCGAGAUCUUAUCGACCCUUGAAUUGUAGGUCUCCAACAUUCUGUCAUUAGCUUCUAUCUUAUUUCGCUGGAUUCAAUCCUCUUUGUGAGGUCUUCGAGCAUCUUCAUAAUAGCGGGGUCGGCUGACCCAUUAUUUCUCGAUCUUUCCGAUACAUGUUCGACUUGAGGAGACUUUUUUUGGUGCUGCUGUGCUUGGAGUUUUUUGGUGGCUUUGCAGUUAAGCAAUCGCCAGUUAUUGUUCAUGCAAUAUCUCAAAACUGACGUGAAGGCUACAUUUCGUUCCUCCAAAGUUAGGGUUCUCUAAGCUUCUUGUCGGAUUUCAUGGUGUGUAUUCUCGUUAGUAUGGGAGGUUAUAUUGACGUGUUGGGCGUUACAUGAACCCACAUUCAUGGGGAUUGGUUCUGGUGCAUCCUCAGGGUUUCGUAAUGGUAUACCGGCACGUGGAACAGCUAAACCAUUCUCUCCACGACCCUCAGGACCAUUGUUUUCAGGUGCAUUCACUGAGUUAGACAUUUUGACCUGAAAUCAAAGAUACUUGGACAAGAAAAAGUGUGAAGAAUAACUUGUGUUUUCAGUAAACCAGCACCAAAACAAUCACUAUUAUUCUUAGCCCCGUGGUGAGUGCCAAACUGUUUACCUUGAAAAUGAUAAUUAAAAUUGAAUUUGAUUUUGUGGUUUUAAAAAUACGUGAUUUAUUAUAAUGCUAGUUGUUUAGCGAUAGAUGCUAACUGUGAGUCAAGAAAAUGAGAUAAGAGCUUGAGGAUAGUAUGCUAUGCAAACCGAAUGGCCGUGAAUCGGGGUCUCGAGCUGGCCUACGCUGGGCCUCGAUGUUGAGCUAAAGUGAUCGACUGGGGCUGAUCGAUGUAGGAUAAACAGUUCCAAGGGCCUUAAUAAUGGCUCUUUAUGAUCUAUGAUAAAUAAUAAAUGAGGAACAAUCAAUGAAACAUAAUAAAUGUAAGCAAUAAAUCAAAGGAAAGACAAUGGAGAAUGUUUAAGUUAGAGAACAGAUAAUGUUCUUGUUCUUGUAUUCAAUAUCAUGUAUCUUACAAAAUGAUAAGGGUCCCUUUAUAUAGGAGAGGGAAUCCCAACAUAGUACAAGUACAUUUAUUACAAAGAUACGCGACUGUUACAACCAAUUAAUGUCAAGGUACGGACUUGGAAUAUUCUUGUAGGCCUGGUCAGCUCUAACUACGCACCUUGGUAAUUUCCCGCUUAUCCAUGAUAGCCACCGAUCUGCACUGCCCCAAGGUCGAGCAUAGGGAACCCAUGGGGUCGAACCUCGAGUUGGGCAUCGGGCCUUCGGAAGAUAGGCUAUGGAAUGCCAUAAUGAGCAUAAAAUCGGACUCUCCCAUUUUAGCUGUAUACAUAAGUCUUGGCUAAUACUGGGGUAUUAUCAAAGCUGAACUCCUCGGAGUUGUGCUAGCCUUUUUGGUGUAAGUGAGAUGCCCAUAUACAUGGCUAAUGCAUGUCUUGUCUUGCUACCAAAACAUGACUUCCCAAAUCCCCUUACUGAAUUCAGAUCCAUCAAUUUGAGCAAUUUCAUUAACAAAAUCAUAUCCAAAGUCAUAUGUACCAGAUUAGCACCUAUCCUCCCCAAAAUCAUCUCUCCCAACAAGUCAAGAUUUGUGAAAGGGAGAAGCAUCACUAAAAACAUCAUGUUAGUAGAGAGAUUGUUCAAGGCAUCAAGAAACCUAAUCAACGACGUAAUGUGGUUAUCAAGUUGGACAAGGAAAAAGCAUAUGACAGAGUCUUUGGAGAUAUAUUUGCAUUAUGCUUAGAAGAAUGGUUUUUAUAAAGGCAUCAUUGAUAUUAUUUGGAGGAUUAUGUCCAACAACUAGUACUUUGUAAUUGUGAAUGGUACCAGGCAAGGUUUCUUCAAAUCUACAAGAGGUCUUAAACAGGAUGACCCUCUCUCUCCUGCCCUAUUCAUCUUUGGUGUUGAAUUGCUAUCCAGAAUGCUGAAAAAUCUGACUCACGAUCAGCUCUUUAAUGGAUUCUACAUGGAAAGAAGGGGACCCUAGACAAACCAUUUAAGCUUUGCGGAUGAUGUGAUCAUCUUCACAUCUGGCAUCAAGAACUACCUCAAUAAAAUCAUGACCAUUUUUGAGAGAUUAUGAAGCCUCUAAGGUCAGAAGAUUGACAGAAACAAAAGUCACUUAGUGGUUCCAUGUUAUGUCUUCCAUUAUAAUGUUGCUAGAAUCCAACAAAUCACUGAUUUCACCAGGAAAGAGUCCCAGUCACCUUCCUUGGUUGCCCCCUAUACAUUGGAAGGAAAGGAAUCAUCCAUUUCAAUUGUCUCAUAUCCAAAGUCACUCUGAUCAAACAUGUGUUACAAUCAAUACCAAUCAAUCUACUAUCAGUUGUCUCUCCUCCUAAAAUAGUAAUGAAACAUAUUGAGAGGUUGGCUGUCAACUUCUUUUGGGGUAUAGAGAAGGACAAACACAAAUACCAUUGGGCAUCCUGGGCUAAGCUUUCACAUCCAUUAAAUGAGGGUGGCAUUGGGGUAAGAUGUAUUCAAGAUGUCUGUAAAGCCAUGGAAUACAAGCAGUGGUGGAACUUCAGGUUCAAACCUUCACUAUGGAGAAAAUUCCUAUUGGCCAAGUAUUGCGAGAGAUCCCAUCCAAUGAAGAUAAAAUAGGAUACUGGUCAAUUUCAGGCAUGAAAAACACUUAUGACCAACAAAAAGGAGGCAAAAAAACAUAUCACGUGGAGGCUCCAUUCAGGUGACGUGACUUUCUGGUGGGAUAACUGGUUGGGGUCUAGUCCAUUAAUUGUUCAUAAAAAUGAAGGAGGCAAGCCCGACAAACUGAAAAUCUCACAUUUUUUUUAAAAUGGCCAAUGAAACAUUCAGAAACUCAAUGAAGUAGUCCCAACUCACAUGUUAUCCCAAAUUCUGCAAACUACCAUUCACUACAACCCACAAAUUCAUGACAAGGCCAUUUGGACCCCCAAUGCUUCAAGGAAUUUCACCUGUGCAUCAGUUUGGAACACUAUAAGGAAAAAGAAACAACUCCUGCUCUCUAACACGAAGAUAUGGCACAGAAAGAUACCUUUCAAAUGGUCCUUUUGCCUUUGGAGAGCCCUCAGAAAUAAGCUACCAAUUGAUGAUAGUGUAGUGGUUUUUGGAAACCCUAUAGCCAUUAGGUGUGCUUGCUGCAGCAGGCCUCAAGGUGAGUCAGUUAACUACAUCUUCAGUAAUGGCCAUUUUGCAAGAGCUAUUUGAAAGAUAUAUACUGGCAUCACUGGUCUGAAAAUAGAUCAAUUCCCUUUGAAAAUGGUUUUAUGAAAUGGUGGUUACAUAAAGGCAAGAAUGUAGUACAUCAGCAUCUCCUACAUUCUACCCCUACCAUUAUUUGCUGGAAUUUAUGGAAGAAUACAUGUAAUGCAAAAUAUGGGAGCAGAUCUUCUUCAAUGUUCAGAGUUAGAUACUCAAUUACUCUAACAUUCAUAUGAUGCUAAGGACAUACUAUCCUCACCUCAGUUGGCCAACAAAUUGGAUUGAUCAAUACUCAAUGGCCGAAAACCUGAAAUAAACCAUUUGCACUACCAUGGUAAUGUGGGAAAAACCCGAGGAAGGCUUUGUGAAAAUUAAUAUCGAUGGUAGUGCCCUCAGUAAUCCAAGGAGAAAUGGAGUUGGUACCAUCAUAAGGGAUCACCAGGGAAAUUUCAUUCAUGCUAUAGCCACACCACUUGGAGAAGGAACAAACAACAAAGCUGAAACUGAGGCUGCAAUUAUUGGGGUCCAAUGGUGUUUUGACAAUGGGUACGCAGAGGUCCAAUUAAAAGUUGAUUUAGCUAUCCUGGUUAACUGGAUCAACAAUAGUUCAGAACCUCCAUGGUCUCUUUAGAUGCUCAUAAAGAAACUGAAGGACCCCAAUCAACAAUUUGAAGACUUCAAGUGCUCUCAUGUCUAUAGCGAAGCCAUUUUCCCGGUAGACUCCCUUUCAAAUCUUAGCCAUGAAGUUGAUCACAUCUCCCAUUAAAACCUAGUGCAAGAACUCCCAUCAUAUAUCACAGGACAAAACAAUAUGGACCAAUUAGAAACCCUACCAUUCAGACAUAAAACCAUAAACAAAUUCCAGCAGCCCACUCAUAAUGCCCUCACUCCCAACGCCUCUAAUUGUCAUGGAUAAACACCAUAAAGUUAGGAUAGCCUUACCAACAUUCCAAGUAAACUAUCCACCCAAAGGAAAGUCCCCCUCAUACCCUUCCCAGCAUCCAGCACAACCCUAACACACAACCAUCCAGUUCAACACAAUUCACCAACAACAAUUCUCCCACACAAAAUAGUUAACACACUAGUACCUUUAUCCCCAAAUUUCAUCACCAUCACCUGCCUUUAACCCCCACAAGUUACAUCCUAAGCACCCUUAUAUCCAUAAAGGCAAAACCAACUGUUUUUUCUCUUGGUUUUUUUUGCAUGUACAUACAGGGAUCACCAGUUAGAACCACAUCUAACUCAUAUCUGUGAUUCUACUAAUGAUCAUCAUCUAUAAGGCAGCAAAAAUAGCACCUUCAGUACCCUAUUUAACCAUACCAUAAACACACCACUCGCAAGAACAAGGAGCCACAUCCCUUACCAUAAAACAACCAAACCAAUCACCCAGAACACACAAGAACCUAGGGAACAAUCCAAACAAGGGAGGGUAGUAGUGUUCAAAAUCUGUAUCACCUAGUAUAUUUCCACAAAACAGAGGAAAGAUUACCAGAGUCUGCCAGCUCACCAGUCUACUUACAUCUCUCUGAAUCCUAAAAAUGAAAUUGCUCUCAGUAAACACAAGAACCUGAGAGUAAAGUCUUUUCUACUAACAUGUCUGCUCCUCUUUGCAGGUACCAGGGAUAGACUCAGAGUAUUACUGCAAUUACAAGGUGUGCUAUUAGGAUCUUGGAUGCUCAUUCCCUUGCAAAUGCACCAAUACUUUUGGGUAGGUCCUAAAGACAGUGGCAAUUUCACACAACCACACAACAGCCACAAGACUUACAUGAGAUCCACUGAAAAUAACAGACACAAUCCUGAAGGCCAAAGUGGGAAGACACAAAAAUCAACCUAGAGUAUAAAGAAGGCCUCAACACCUCUCCACAAGAUUCAACAACAACAAUCUAACAUAAAAUCAGCCAACAUGUUUGCCCAGUCCAUACAAGGUAUCUCUAGGGGUCCAAACCUAGUUAGCAUGAAGAUUAUAGUCAUCCUUUUCCAGCAGCAAGAACUCACACAUUCCACUAACAAGCCCAAAAUCCACAUGACAACUCCUCAAUCAGCAAUCUUCAAAAAAUCAUGUAGGAAGGAAACAAGAAAAUGCUCACUCUUUUCUAUGAAGAAACACAGGCAGAAUCAUCAUGUAUGCCCACCUUCUUGGAUCCCUUUUGUUGACUGUCUUCAACUAGCCUUUCCUUCAAUGCAAAAGCAAAGUUGAAGACAGUAUGAUCUAGAGUCCCACUUUUGUCACAUCCUUUAGAAUUGUCAAAUAUAAUUGGUGUAAUUGGAUGAUGACUCUUCUUUUGCCUUUUUGUAUAGCUGACCGAGGCUAUCUUUAGCAUAUUUUUGUCUACCUUGAAGUCUAUCAUUGUUGCAUAGAUAGCAGGUAUUUCACCAUAGGUCUAACUUCACAUAGAAUCAUAGGUACAGUUGGUUAUCAGUUCUGGAUGAUCAAGUGUAAACUCAAUUUUUUGGAGGUAAGGUCCAUGUCCCCCUCCAUUGUUGUACUCCACUUUAUAUUUAUAAAAUCUUACCCUAAGUACAAUGCCUAGUAGACUCCAUUAAAAAAAAGAAGUCUUGGCUAGAGUUAGUCAAGUUUCAAAGUCUUUGUAAUAGAGUUAUUGCAAAGUGGCUUGUAAUAGGUGUGUUACAAGUUAGUGAGGGAUUAAGAUUUUAAUUCAUUGGUUGCAUAGGUUGUAAUCUGAAAGUUGCUCAGUAGUGAAUUUGGAGUAUUGCAAGGGUAGGUCAUGGUUCAUAAUCCCGUUGAGCUAGAUGUAUUUCCACGUAAAAUUCCUCUUGCCAUUUAAUUACUGCUUUGUGUGUGUGUACUGUUGGACCUAAUAGAGAACCUAGUUCUCUAUAGAGUUUGGACGACCCUUAUAUUCUAUCAAUUGGUAUCAGAGCGGGUUCUUUCUAUUACGUUAACCCCUAGAAAGGAUCCUCAUGGCUGCUCCUCCAAACUUCGAAGAAGGCGAGUCUAUGUACAGACCUCCUAGGUGCAACGAUCAAUACUAUGGGUGGUGGAAAACUAGGAUGCAUGACUUCAUUAUGGCUUAAGACUUUGAGGUAUAGGAUGUAAUACGUGACAGACCCUUUGUCCGUACAAAGAACCUUGGCGAUCCCGCUGUAGCCAUUCCCAAGAUAAGGAAAGAAUUCAAUGACGCUAAUAUAAAGGCCAUAGAAAAGAAAUUUCGAGCAAAGAAAAUUCUUGUUUGUGGUAUUGGUUCUGAUGAAUAUAACAAGAUAUCAGCUUGUCAAUCAACAAAAGAGAUAUGGGAGGAUCUUCAGACAACUCACGAUGGAACAACUCAAGUGAAGAAUCCAAGAUUGAUAUGCUCACAACAGAAUAUGAGCUCUUCAGAAUGAAAGAUGAUGAGUCGAACCAAGAUAUGCAUACUCGAUUUACCUCCACCAUCAAUGAGCUUCACUCUCUUGGUGAAAGUAUUCCAUGAAACAAACUUGUCAGAAAAAUCCUUAGUGUACUGCCCUGUUCUUGGGAAAGCAAAGUUAACACCAUUACAAAGGCUAAGGACUUGUAGAUACUUACCAUGGAUGAACUUGUUGGGAACUUGAAAACAUGUGAAAUAAAGAAGAAGAAGAAGAAGAAGAAGAAGAAGAAGAAGAAGGACAGUGAAAGAAGAUAGCCAAGAGAGAGAAGAACCUGGUCCUCAAGACGGACAUCAAUGACUCAAGUGGUGAAGACAGGGACAUGGCUUACUUGGCAUAAAGGUUCGAGAAGAUGGUUCAUAGAAAUGGAGGCAUUCAAAAAAGGGGAAGCUCUAGCAAGCCCAGAAAUUAUGAUCUCUUUCAUAAAUGUGGAAAGCCAGGAUACUUCAUCAAGGAUUGCCCCCUCCUAAUGUAAGAUCUGUAUAAUACCAACUUUGAUAAAGCAGCUAAGAGGAACCAAGUUCCUUACAAAUACUUCAAGAGGAAGAAUGAUGCUGACAACAUUGUAAAGCAAGCUCUUGCUGCAUGGGAAGACUCAUCCAGCGAAUCUGAAGAAGAAGACGACCAUGGUGGUAGUUCAAUGAUGGAAAUAAAAAUGAAACAACUGAGUAUGAUUCAAUCUUUGCUCUAAUGGCUCAAUCUUAUGACGAUGAAGAUGAUGACGACGAUAAGGUAAACUUUCUGGGUGUUUAGAGGAAUCUGAAAUCAUACUCUUCUAAAAAGCUCAUGUCAUUAGGAAAUGUGCUAAUUGAUGUUUACCAUAGUCUUAUCAAUGAUAAAGAUGCUUUAACUCUGGAACUAGGGAAAGUUGAACAAACUAGAGAUCACUUAGUAGUCAUUGUAGUUGAUUUGAAAGAAACAAUAGAGAACCAGAAAAGAGAAAAGAAUGCCUUAGAAGAGAAAUUUGCUAGUAUAGAACAUAAAUGAGAUGAUUUAGUGAUAGUUAUGGUGGGCCUAAAAGAAACCAUUGAGAAAGUUGCCACCAGUGAGCUAGAAAGAGAUGACCUAGUAGUGGUGGUAGUAGGCUUGAAAGAAACAAUUGGGGAAUUUUAAAAUAGUAAAUAGGCCUGGAAACUCUGAGAAGGGAAAGGAAGUUGCAAGUGAAGCACACAUUAAGCUUGAAAAUGAGUUAAACAUGGUAAAGAGUAGUUUGUGUGCUGAACUUGAUAAAAACAAAUAGCUUCAGGAAGAACUAGGGAAAGUAAAGAGUGAUCUUGAGAAACCACUUAAGUGGACCUGGUCCUCGUAUGCUAUAACUACCAUGUACACCAACUCUACGGGAAACAUACAGGGGAUUGGGUUUCAAAAGGAAAAGAUUCCCUACUACCCUUCAUAGCAAGUAUGUUACUGUACCUGACAAUUGACUAUGUACCAACUAUGGCAACAAUGGGCACCUCAAGCAAAAUUGCAUGGCCAGGGUUCAGUCUCAUCAGAGAAAUAAAGUCUUUGCUGAGAGAGAAACUACUGCAAGAGGACAUGAUCCGUCAAAUAGGAAACCAUCUAUGAUAUAUGUGCCUAAUAUGCCAACAUUAUCAUUUAACAACUCAAAACAUAGGCCGAAAAUGUCGUACAAUCAUUAACGUACAUGACAUCUAUCUACAAGCCUCUAAGAAUACAUAAUUUUCAUAAAAGUCGGGACAGAGUUCCGCCAUACCAAACAGUACCCAUCUAAGUCAUACUAACCAAACAAGCAACUCCGAAGCAAAUGGAGCGUACCAAUAUCUUCUACUUAGCUGAUAGCCUACUUGGAGGGCUCUCGACCUGUCUAUCGGGACCUGCAGACAUGAACGCAGCGUCCCCAGGCAAAAGAGACGUCAGUACGAUUAAUGUACCGAGUAUCCAAGGCACAUAAAUAAGUACAUAACAGACAUGGAAGAAAGAUAGAGUAAAUAACUCAACCUGUAAGUCUGGAAAACUUUGUAAAUCAUGAAAUACUUAUCGUGUCAUGCAUAUGCGUAUGAAUGUCAUGUCGUGCAUAGGUACAUGUUUCAUAACAUCAUCAAGCCUCUGAGGGCAUCCCAUCGUAUCAUAUCAUAUCGGCCACUGUAGGCAAAAUCAUCAAUGUAUACCAACUGAUCAGGUGGUGGUGCGUAUAUAAUGCCGUAACCUUUUCCCAUAUCUCAUAUACAUAUUAUAUAUAUAUAUAUAUACACACACGUAUAUAACACCAUCUGGUCAUGGGUCAAUGUACAUGUAUAUGUGAAUGCAAUGCAUGAGAAGUACGUCAAUAAAAUCUUUCGAAAUUUNNNNNNNNNNNNNNNNNNNNNNNNNNNNNNNNNNNNNNNNNNNNNNNNNNNNNNNNNNNNNNNNNNNNNNNNNNNNNNNNNNNNNNNNNNNNNNNNNNNNNNNNNNNNNNNNNNNNNNNNNNNNNNNNNNNNNNNNNNNNNNNNNNNNNNNNNNNNNNNNNNNNNNNNNNNNNNNNNNNNNNNNNNNNNNNNNNNNNNNNNNNNNNNNNNNNNNNNNNNNNNNNNNNNNNNNNNNNNNNNNNNNNNNNNNNNNNNNNNNNNNNNNNNNNNNNNNNNNNNNNNNNNNNNNNNNNNNNNNNNNNNNNNNNNNNNNNNNNNNNNNNNNNNNNNNNNNNNNNNNNNNNNNNNNNNNNNNNNNNNNNNNNNNNNNNNNNNNNNNNNNNNNNNNNNNNNNNNNNNNNNNNNNNNNNNNNNNNNNNNNNNNNNNNNNNNNNNNNNNNNNNNNNNNNNNNNNNNNNNNNNNNNNNNNNNNNNNNNNNNNNNNNNNNNNNNNNNNNNNNNNNNNNNNNNNNNNNNNNNNNNNNNNNNNNNNNNNNNNNNNNNNNNNNNNNNNNNNNNNNNNNNNNNNNNNNNNNNNNNNNNNNNNNNNNNNNNNNNNNNNNNNNNNNNNNNNNNNNNNNNNNNNNNNNNNNNNNAUAUUAUAUAUAUAUAUAUAUACACACACGUAUAUAACACCAUCUGGUCAUGGGUCGAAUGUACAUGUAUAUGUGAAUGCAAUGCAUGAGAAGUACGUCAAUAAAAUCUUUCGAAAUUUCAUAAGACCAUUAUGCCUUUGAAUAAUAUCAUGAAGUAAACUUUUUAAACUUGCAUACUUUCUGAGACCCGUGAACAAAUGAUAUAAUAAUAUGACACAUGGGGAAUCAAUAACAUAAGCAUUUCUAAUAUUUCUAUGAAUAGAGUCAUGUAUGAAAAUUGUGUAUUUGCACAUUUCGUUGUAUCGUAUGGAUCAUGCCAAAAGAAAGAAGGGAUAUCUUUAGCAUACCUGGAGUAGAGAAAAAUCAAUAUGAUAUUCUUGCUUGAAUUCUCGGUACAGAGAUAGGUGCGUUCAUAAGAGCCAUGCUUUUGAAUGCGACAGAUGUUAUGUAUACGACACAAAUGUACUAUGAUAUAUAACUUUAAGGUUUGUAAGAGUUCAGGUCAUAGAUAACUUUAACGCCUCUUAUGUACAGAGAACGAUUUUGUAGACCGAAACUAAUGGAUAUAUGGGGUCUCAAUUUCAUAUGAAAAAGCUAGCUUUGCCAUUCUUGCUUUCACUUAGAAAUUUCUCAUUUACAUUUACGGCCCAAAGGAGUUUUUAUUUUGGCUUACUAACCUGGAGAAAGCACAACAAACAUGGAGAAAGACAUCUAAUUGAUUUCACGUUAUAUGAAUGGAAUGAUUCUUAUGUUUUUAAGACAUCAAGAUUCUCUUUCUAAAAUAACAAAUGACUUAGGUUAUAAGACUUUGUCCAAAUUCACAUCUCUAGCCUUGCCACCUAGAUUAAUGACUUAAGAGUCAUUCAGAGGAUUAGACGAGGUGUUUCCACAUGGGGUUGGGGGAAAUUUUAAUCCUAUCCAAUUUAUUAGUUAAUUAGGUAAUGUCCCAUUACCCGAUAAUUAACCAAUUACCCGAACAAUUAAGAAUUAUCUCAAAUUACUUAAAAUUCUACUUAUUUUUAAUACACUUUAUACACCGUACUAUUACGGUCAUGUGGUACCAUAUAAAAUAAAUACAUACACUACUAUUUUAUUAGAAAUACAUAUAUUUUCACAACUUCUAAUUUUCUUAAUCUCAUAUAAAGAGUACAAAUUUUCAUAUGCUUAAUUCUUAGAAUGGUAAAAAGAUAGCCUUUUUUUCUUGUAAAAAAUAAUUUCUAUCUUUACAAUAAAGAAAAUCUCAUAAACUUUCUUAUAUUAUGUGUAUAAUCUAAAGCAUAUUCGAAAGUAGUAAUAUUAAUAACUAUGUAAAAUCUUUUUUUUUUACAAAAAUGUUUCAGUCAAACAACCAUAUCAUAUAUAUAUAUAUAAUGGUAUCAGGAUUGUUAAACUUACAGGAUGUAACAUUGUCGUAAUAUAAUAUUGCAGAGCGUAAUAUUGCGGGGCGUAACACUAUCAAAUAGCAAACGUAUUUUGCCUACUUGAACUAAGAGAGCACUCAUUCAUACUUUUUCUCUUAACAAGGGACCCAAACUUGUUUGGGUUCCUAAAUCUAACCCUUGAUUUCAGUGUGCACGGAGCAGUGAAGGGAAGCAGCCAAUAAUUACACAUGAAUAGGGGCUGCUCAAAGGACAUGACUGAAAAUACAAUCAAUUUUCCUUCACAAAAACCCGUACAAGGAGAGAGUGUACCCUUUUGAAAAUUUCUGAAAAGGGGGUACACUCUAGCAGUUGGAAGAUUUGUGUCAAAGGAAAUAAGGUGGAAUGCUUGUCCAGGAUAUGCACAAUCUCAAAUAUUGUGACUAGUGAGGUGAUGUUGUAGCCAAAAGACACAAGAGUACAUAUGUUGUUCUAAUUGAGCUUUUGCUGAGUGGAGAUAUAAGUUGGUUGGAAGCUAUUGAAGAUAAUGCUGAACCAUGGGACAAAAGACUGGAACAUUGCACGUUGCUUAUCUCUAAACAAGCUGGACGUGAAGAACCCGAUUCAUGGUCUGAUGAAGUUGAGUAUAAAGUAAUAUGAAGUGCGCAAUGCCUGUGUAAAAGGAAAGCAUGUCAGAACGUCAUUCAAUACCAAAAGGGGCAGACAACACUUCACAACCAAGGUUGAGAUCUUUCAAGAAACCGUGGCCUUUGUCAAGAAGAUCCAGGUACUGACAGAAACAAACGUGGCUUGCAUCAGAUUAAAUCAUGGAACAGGUUUGGAUAAUGCCAUAAGUGGAUGAAGGAUAUAUUCAAAGAAUAAAUACUCAACAACUUAGCUCAAAGAACACCACCUCAGAUGGAUUUUUGAAAAGAAGAAAAGGACUCUUGAAAAUUUGGGCACGGUGAAUAUUAAUUGAUGAAGGGUUUGCAAACAUCUUGACCAAAGCUGCUGACUUAAUUGCGGAUAUCUGGAUAUAACUGUUAUGUUCUCAACAAUGGGAAGGGUCAGCCUUGAAAAUCUGAUGGUAGAAGAGUUGGAGGAAUCCCCCUAACAUACUCGUCUCAAAAGAGAAUAGAAACAUUGAUCAAAGUAGAGAACACCCAUUAAUUCCAGCAAGGAACCGGGUCCCGUGUCUCAGCAACAGAAGCUGAAAAACAAGUUGUUGGAAAAAGGGUUUUGUAUAGAGACAUCACUGAAUCACUCUUAUAUCUCACUGCAAGUAGAGUAGACAUCUUGAUCAGAGUUGGGUUCUAUGCUAAGUCUCAGUCAAAUCCAAAGGAUUCUUAUCUGAAGGGUGGUGUAAGAAUUUUGAGAUAUCCUAGAAGAACACAAAACCUAGUUCUCUACUGUCCUCUAAGUAAUGGAUAGGAAAAUCUUGCCUGUAUUGGGAUAGGCUCUGAGUUCCUGUGUUGUCUCAUGAGGCUCAAGGAAGCAGAAUUCAAUGGCACAUGCAACAAUUGAAGCGGAAUAUGCAUAAUCAGCAUCAUGUUGUGGUCAAGCUCUGUGGACCAAGAAACAAAUUGGAAGAACUUGAGUCUAACUCAAGAGUGCCAAAUACAGCGACUGUUGAAGAUCAAGUUGCAUACAUCUUCACCAAAAUCUCUAAGAAGAAAGCAUUCUGAGAAAGAUCGCUUUGCACUGGGGGAUGAUAAAACCCAAGUGAGAACCUGGUUACUCAUAUCGGUUAUGAAAGACAUAGUCAGGUAAAAGCUAGCUAAAGUAUUUUCUAGCUAAGUCAAACUCACCUCUAUAUCGUUACAGUUAGACACGCAUGAUGACUAUAGAAGCAGAUGCUGUAGUGCAUGAUGAAUGAGGGGAUAAAACUUACUUUCCAGAUCUAUCAGGGAACCUAGUUCUCUAACACCAGUUAGUAGCUUCUUUAUUCUUUAAUACACAAUUUAAAAUGAACAAAAAACAAUGCCACAUCAUCAUCAUCGUGACAGUCUCUUUAAAGUCAUGUUUCUUCGGGCAAUACAUCACAUACCAAACGUCACUCCUUUUCUAAAUGAUACAUCUCCCAACCAAAAUGGUGCCGCCAUUUCAUAAUGGUUCCCCCGUCAUAAUUAAAUCAACAUCACAACCCUUUCUCUUCCAACUCAAAAUUCCCUAUUUGUUUUCUCUCUUCUCAAAUCCACAGUCCUUCAAAAAUAAUCUCAUCAUGUCUAAAAAUCAAGCAACCUUCAGUGUGCCUAACAACACACUGUGAUUGAGUCCUCACCAGUCAAUAGUUCAGCGGUGAGCCUCUCUCCUAACAAAGUAGCAAGUCCAAACCCUAAAGAAGAGUCUAAGUAAGUCUAAGAAUAUCUGUCCUCCUCCAGUCUCACCAGCCAAACAGAGUCAACAAGGUAAACAAGGGAACCUCAUUUAGGAACCUUUAACUCUAUCCAUAGCCGAGCACUUGAGUGAAGAUCUGGUGAUUAGUCAUGAAGAGACUGAGAUCACCAUGACAAGUUGAUACUCUGUAGGUAUCACUCCUUUGUCUGUUGAAAUCGCCAUGGAUCCACAAGAAAAGGAGGGAAUAGAGAAUACAUUUUCCAUUGCGUCAGAAUGGGUCAUUAUAGAAGAAUGUGCGGAAGGAUUUGAGCCUCAGGGUGAAGAGACAGAAGAAGAGGGAGCAAUUGUGCAAUUAGAACAACUAGCACAAGAUGAUGCUACUGGGGUUCCAAAUGAUGAAUUUGAUCCCUCCAUGGAGGAUCCAGGUCAGGAGUCAUCUCCUCAGUUCAGUUAUCCUACCCCUCUCCCCACUUCGAUGCUGAGCCUCUAAAUAUUGUGGUGCCUGAGAUGAAUCUUGAUAGUAAAGAAGACGUAGAUGAUUUGGUUUAUGCUAGUUUUAUCAGUGCUGUUAAUACCCAAUUUUUCCUCAUAUUUUUAAAAUAUACAUAUAUACUUUCGAAAUAGUAUACAUGAAUUAUCAUUGGAUUUAUAAUCAUGCACAAAUGUUUUUCAUAUUGUUUUUAUAAUUUUUAAAGGCCUUAAAUUAAUUUAUUUCUAUAUUUUAUUAUAUAAACAUCUAAUAAUUACCCUCUAAAUUAUUAUUUUUAUGAUGAUUAAUCAUAUAAACUUAUCACUUACAUAAGUAAGAGGUUUUAAAUAUAUUCAGUGCAUUUCUCAUAGUUACAUUUGCAUUAUUAGGGCUAAAUUGCACAUUUUGCAAUAAUAGCCCAUAUGCAUAUAUAAUUACAUUAUUUAUACAAAAAAUGACUUUUAUAUUUUUAUAAUAUUAAGUAAUUAUUUUUAAUCAUUUUCAUAAAUAAGUAAUAUUUUGUUAUUUAUCAAUUAUUUUUAUAAAUUAUUUAUUUAUUAAAUAGUGAGUAUUUAAAUAAUAGCCCAUUUUAAGCUUAUUUCGGACCGACCCCUAGCCCAAUUACCUAAAAUACACCAGCCCAACACUCCAACCUAAACCAAAUGACCCCUACCCCAAUAAUCUACCCGGUACCCAUUUAAUUGACCCACCCCAACCCCUCUUUAAAAUUCUGGCCGUUGAUCUCAGAGAUCAACGACACACAUUUAGCCUACCCUUUUUAAAUUACCCAACCCCAAACCCUAAUCCCAUUCUCUACCAUUCACCGCCCUUAAACUCUCUCAAAUGCUCUCUUCGUCUCUGCAAACACUAGCGCCAUAACCUCUAAUCCCCUUCGAUUCCAACCCAGAAAUGGAAUCACUCGAUGAUUUCAUUACCUUAUUGACCUUUUUUCCAAUAUUGGCUAGUUGUUUAUGGUGUUACAUAAUUGCUUGCCUAUCAUGGCAAGCAGAUCUCUCUUAUUUUGAACCAAAUCUGGUUCAGAUCUUUUCCUCUUUCCAUCUGUGUUUGUUCUCGUUUCUUUUAUGGUACAAAUCUCUAUGAUUCUUCACGAUUAUUUACUCACCAUAAAACUAGGGUUCAAAUAUUCCUAAGAUCUAAUAUUGGUUGGCAAUUGUUUAAUUAUUUUUCCUUUAGUAUUUCUGUAUAUAUGUCCAUGUGCAUUUUAUUAUGAUUUUCUUUGAUAUUUUUGACUAAUUAUUACUUACCCUAAAAUUAGGGGUUUUUAUUCUUUGCAAUCAAAUCAAAUUUGGUUCAAUCCUUAAUUAUUUCGGUCUAUAUAUAUCUUUAUGAAUCUUUAUUAUAACUCUUGCCGUUAAUUUUUGACUGAUUUUCACUUACCCUAAAUUUGGGGUUUUGAUUCUUCGAAAUCAAACCAAAUCUGUUUGAUUCAUUAAUUGCUUUGUUAAAAUCUCUAUUAUAUGCCUAUGUGCAUCUCCUUACUUGUUAUUUCCUGCCGUUCUUAUAUGUUUACAUAAAUUAGGGUUUCAACUUUUUCUUUUCUUAUUAAUUGUUCUGUGCUUUCCUUUCUAGUACUUUGCCCUAUUUGUGUAUUCUAAUUCAGUGUUAUAUAAACCCCUCCCUACUCCCCUUUAGAACAAAGCUGAAUCGCAAUAAUCACUAAAAUUGGGGCUUUGAUAUGUCUUCCUUUCAUUAUCUUGUUCUACAUUCUUGUUCUUGGCCGGCUAAAAGCCAAGGCCAGAAAUUAUGGGUUCUGGCUACUAUUUUUUCUUGCUUUCGUUCAACUGGUGAGUUAUUGAACCUUGGCAAUUUCAUUCUUAUGUAGUUAUGAUUUGCAUGUGUUCUCAUCUCGGAAGUUCAUGGCCUUAUAUGUUUUUGGUUUAUUCUUAUAUGUGACUUUGUUAACUUUGCACUCGUUUUAAGUCUCUUUAGUAUUUUAAGUUUCACCUUAUGUUGCUAGUUCUGAGAUUGUUCACACCUACUUGAAUAAACCAAACCCUCUUAAGUUUAUUUAGCUAAUGCAUUUUGGAUUACUCUCGUAUCCAACUUUGUUAGUUUCACUUGCACUGAAUCUUUGAGUUCAUAUUAGUCUAAUGGCAAUACUUGAAUGUCUACAUUCACUAAUCAAUCUAAGUUUGUUUUCCUAUUCCACUUUGAGUUCCUACAAAUGGCUGCUUCAUAUUUUUGAUAAUUUGUUACUUGCUUCCCUAUUAACCCGUCUUUCAGCAUGUCUUUGGCUCAUUUGACUCCAUAUUCCCUCAGUAAUUAUCUGACUCUAGGGUAGUUAUUAAGUUUGUGUUUUUAAUAACAUAUCUAAAUUUUGUUUUGUUUUCUAGGUGAGUUAACACGACAUUCUUUUGAUACAGGGAUAUAUACUUAGCAUAAAUUAUACCUUUUAGGCUUCAACUUAUUUGGUAUUAUGCACCUGUGUGACUGUGUAAAUUCCACAAACUGAUUUCUCUCUAACUCUUUCAAUAUGAUCAUGUUUAUGUAUUGUUUGGCUAAAUGAUGGACCUGUUUCUUAGUCUUGCUGACCCUGUGAUCACCUGUCCUAUGAUUUUUAAGCUUUUCUAUGUUUUCUUUUCCUAAAACUACAUACCUCUUUUCAAAUUAUGUCCCUUAACCAUUGCCCACUCCCUUUCAUUUGUUACCUAUGCUAUUCUGGAUCCUCAUUUUAGCUGGAUGAAAGCCAAGGCUAUUUAGGUUCUAUCCUUGACCUUUCUAGUGUGAGCACUGCUCGGGGUCUAAGUGAGACCCUUGAGAACUCUGGAAUACUAGGAUUUGGGUCUUUAGUCUUCCUUGAACUAUUUCAGAUUAGUUUCUCUAGUCUGAGCACUGCCCUAGGUCCUUGAAGCCAUUGAGAACUCUGACACACUAGAGAUUUGGGUUUUGUAUGCUUAUCUUUGAAAUAUGGGUGAAUCACUCACCGUUGGUCAUGUUGUACAUAUGAACAUGGACUUUGGAGAUGUUGUGAGUUGAAGGCCUGGUUUGUCCAGGUGUAUUUGGGCCUACUGCAGGCUUCCUAUAUUUUAUUUACUUUGUAAUUCAUUCGAUUGUAGUCUCUAAUAAUUAUUUGUAAUAACUAUUGGGGCAAUGGUGUAUUGGGAAACUGGGUUUAUUUUUUAACGUUUGCAUGAGAAUGGGUAGAAUCCUGCCUAUAGGUGUUUACUUUGUUCAUUCUACUAUUGUGUUAGAUAACAUGCCUAUAGGUGUUUAUUUAUUAAAACAUAUUCUUCUUUGCAUGUUAGAUAACCUGCCUAUAUGGGUUUGCUUUUGGCUCAAAUAUGAAUAUCCUGCCUACUUUGCUUUACAUGAUUAGAUACCAUUCCUAUAGGAAAUAAAAUAACCAAAGUUCAAUUUGCAUUGCAGUAUAUUCAAAUCUGCCUCUUUAGAAAUCAUGUCUAUAGGGUUUUUAAUUGAUUGAUAAGCUAGUGUCAUACUCCAUUUUGUAUGGAUUCCUAUAGGAACUAAAACUUGUUUUAAUU